rnacentral:lncRNA from 1 species
UGUACCGCCCGGCGCCGCCCAAGGGGAGCCUGGACACCUGCUACGACUUCACCGGCGUCUUCGUCAUGAGGCUGCCGAGGGUGGCGCUGGUGUUCGACCGGAACGCCGUCGUGGAGCUCGACCCCUCGGGGAUCCUGUUCAACGACUGCCUCGCCUUCGCGCCCAGCAGCGGCGACCCCGUGCCGGGCGUCAUCGGCAACGUGCAGCAGAGGACCAUCGAGGUGCUCUACGACGUCGGCGGUGGGGCCGUCGGGUUCCACCAGGGCGCGUGCUGAGUGCAGGCUACCGGCGGCCGGCCCGCUACUACCAAUUUAGCAUUUGGCUUUUUUCAGGAUGUAUUUGUGUGUACUACUAGCAGUUGGCGUCCUCUCCUGCGCAGCGCCGCCGCCUUUUUUUUUUUUUUUGGAAACACGAGAGAGAGUUUCCUUGCUGGUUAUAUAUUAUAGAAAUUAAAAAAAAUAGAUGAAGUGUUACAAAUCCAAAUCAAGAAAACAAAAGAACAGAAGAAGAUCAAAAAUAUUAUAAUGUCUGAUCUAACCAUGAAGACGUGCUGCUGUUUCCAGUCCUCUUUUACUCUAAGGAUAACCUGAGUAAAAUAAAUUGAUUUAAAAUGAAAUAAAGAGUCUUGAACGGAAGGAGUGAUCCCUUUGAAGAUCCAAUCAUUUCUAGCCAUUCAAAUACUCCAACACAUGAUAAUUAUGAUUUCCAUUAAGAAUUGAACCUGCAGCUAAAUUCUGAAGCUAUUUAGAAUUUCAUAUGGUUUAUCAGACAAAUUAGGAAACAUGCCUAUAUGAAUCCAACAUUCCUGAGCAAAAGAACAUCUAAGUAGGAGGUGGAAUAAAGUUUUCUCUCCACCAUGCUGACAGAGUACACAUUCAUAGGAAGGUAAGAUCAUAUGUUUCCUUCUAAGAACGUUUCUUGUGCUGAGUCUGUCUUUGAGGACUAGCCGGAAAAAUACUUUAUGCUUAUUCUGACAACGUGAUUUCCAGAGCCAUUUAAAGACCUGAUGUACCUGUCUAUGACCCGUGAGAUGACGAUAAGCUUUUGAUGAUGAAUAAUAUGGGCUGCCUAAAUGUAUGUCCAUAUAUCUGGUUCAGAUCCUCCAAACUGGUAGCCAGAUGCAUCAGUUGAUCAAGUGCCUGAGUUGAAAGAGGAAGAUGGAACAAUUGCUGAACAUCUACUAUUUCUUGGGCUUUCUGAAUUGAAAUUUCUUGCUUUUUGGUGAAGGAGAGGAGUUGGGGGUAUGCCUGAGCUGGCACUCGAUCUUUCCACAGAUCAUUCCAAAGAGAGCAUGUGCAUCCAUCAUUAACUGAAACCGUUGCAAGUCCUUUAUAUUUAUUCAAAAGCUUCAGAACAUCUUUCCACCAGAAAGAGCCCUUCCUUACAUGACUUGGCAGUUUUCCAUUAGAGUAAUAUUUCUCCCAUAAUAGAUGCACCUAAGGAAUAUCUGCUCUGUUAAAGAACUUAUGUAAGAAUUUGAGUAUUAAGGCUUCAUUUGUGUUUUGAGAUUCAGAACUCCCAAACCCAUCCCCCUUCUUUCUUUGGAAGGCAGACCAUUUCCCAGGCUGCUUUAGGUGAUUUUCUAUUAUUAAUGUCUAAACCUCUCCAAAAGCAAUGCUUCCUAUAUUUGUCAAUCUGCUUAUACACUAUGAAAUAUAGGUAGAGCAGUGAAAAUUGAAUUAGUUAACUGAAGGCGGACGAGCCUUGCAAGCCCACCAGCCGAGCUGGGUGCCGCCGUCGGCUUUCCGCAUGAUUCGCCGCGUUGAAGCAUUGCUGGAGAAGGCCGACGCUGCCCCGAGCUUCGCCUCACCAGGCCGCACACCCGCCGCCUCUUCUUGUCGUCAUACCGCCGUUGGAGCGCCGCCAACCACUGAAGCCCGGGCCGAGUACCGCCGCCGGGCUUGGCAGCUCGAUUCGACGCAUCGAGGUACCACCGGAGCCGGCCAACACCACCAGGAGCAUCACAAUGUCAAGCAGUGUGCUUUUCACCGGCCGUCAUCAUCGAUUCGCCGCCGCACGACCUCGUUCCCAUGAAGGUUGAGCCAAUCACCGUCUUCCACCGCGGCUGAGCCUAAUUCCGGCCACUACCGUCGUCCUCCGCCGCCGGUGAGCACAUCCAAAAUCUCCCCUCGACCUCCCUUAUCUACCUUGCCGCUUCCCCUCGCCAUAGCCGGCCGGAGCGCCGCCUAUUUUGGCUGGCCGAGCCACCAUUCGUCAUGGGAGCAAGCUCCUAGAGCUUUUCAAGUUAGCCCCUAUGCUUUUGCAUGUAGACCCUCGAGCUAAUCUGUAAUAUCUGGUCGAUUCUUUGUUCUUGGCAGAUUUAUAGAAUGACCCUUAAACCUUUUAGAUCCUUUCAACCUAACCCAAGCUGAGAUCUUUUAUGGAUCUAACCCUGAGUUCCAACCUAUUCGCGAGCACUGUUCAAUGUGUCUCGGGAAUCUUCCUUGCUAGCACCUAUCGUCUAUGGUCAAUCACGAUUAGAUCCUUAAUCCUUGUUUAACCAAUAGAAUUCAUGUUUUACCUCCGUUUAACCUGGUUCUUGUUGCGUUAGAUUCAUGUCAACUUAAAUCACGUAUUAGAAGCAGUGUUGAUCAUAUUCUCUAUUUUAUAAUUUAUUCAAAAUAUUAAUGUGAUUAAGUACUUAUACACUUGCUUUCCUAAUAAAAUCUAAUUAGAGUUAACCCCGUGUUUUCACAUUAAAUGUUAAUUUGAUUAAUGUUUAUUUAAAUAACUCCUCCAAUUAAAAGCUAAUUAGAGAUAUACCUUGGCUUUCCAUAAAUUAAACUCAAUUUGAUUAAUGUGUAUUCAAUUUGUUUUAUCAAUAAAAGCUACAUAGGUUAUAUCUCGAAUUUUCAUGAUUAAAUGUUAAUUUGGCUAAAAUGAAUAUAAAUGAUAUUUAAUUAUAUUUGGUUAGUUCAACCCGAAUCAUAAAGUUCUACGCUUAGAUGCUUUUACAUACUUCUUUUAAAAUCAAAUGUUUAAUUUGCUUAAAUUGUUCUUAAAUAUUUAGAAAUAAAAUUAGACUAAGCUUUACAUUGUCUUUUCAUAUGUAAAUACCAACUAAGGAUAUUUUCUGAAAUAUCUUUACAAUGUUUUUCUCGGCUAAAAUAAAUGAAACAUGUAGCUCUUGUCUUUUCUUUUACAAUCCAAACCGCUCGAUAGCUUUGUCUUUUCAACCAUAGCGCCGUUUCUAGUCUUUCUUGCAGCCUUGCGUUCCUAGAAUCGAGCCCUAUCCUUUCGUAUGCUGUUUUAAAGCUUGUCUUUUGAUUGGUGUACUGUUCUUAGUUGUGAUUGUUUGUUUGCUCUGUAUACUUGUGCCCGAUGAUUGCUUCGAGUAGAAAGAUCGCUAUUCGAAAGAUUUAAAGGUUAAGAGUUUCAAGAGAGUAAGAGCUGAAGAGCACUAAGAGUAACUUUUCUUUGAAGAAAGGCAAGUGUCCCUAACCACCCUUCUGUCUAUACUUAUUUAUAAUACCAUGAUAAUGUUAAUUGGAAUAUGGAUUGACCACUCAGGAAAACAGUACAACCACAAGAACUAUAUGAUUCUGGUCUUAGCUAAUUAAUUAGAGACUCUAAUUUGGGAUAAUCUUACCGAAAGGGCAAGAGGGGAGGCGUUGAUGGGGUAUAGCCCGACCCUCAGGCUGAUCUGCUUUAUGGUAGCUUCGCAGUUUUGAGAGAGGUUUAUGCUCUGCUUCAACCUGAAACCUUAGCGGGUUGCCACUUAUUAGGGAAAUCUUUGUAAAGUUCUCGCAGCGUCCCUAUGCAGUGACAUCUCGGUAGUGUGAUGAGUACCUGAUCAGCACAGUAUGGUUGGGUCUAAAGUUUUUCAGAACUUUUACGCGACUUGUGGGUAAAGAUGUACAACCUCUGCAGAGUGUAAAACUGAUAUAUCAGCCGUGCUCACGGUCAAGAGUGGCUUGGAUCCUCACAUGAUUAAUAAACUUGAGAUGGAUCUAAAAUCAUUUAUUUUGGUUAUUUCAUGUGGCCUUGCUGAGUACCAACCAUACUUGCUUACUGCUGCUCAGAAGAAGAAGGUGUGUGAAGUUUUCUGAAGAUGAUGUUGAGUUCUAGGCGUACGCAACCCGCAACCCCCAGUCGAUUGCCUGUGAAGUUUGGAGCCUUCAUUUCCAGGAUUAAGCUGUAUAUCUCUGAUAGGCUCGUAAGUCAUUAUUUAUAUUCCUUUACGUGAUACUGUUACUAUUAUUCACUAAUGAUGUCACUAUAUGUAUGAAACUAGAUUCUGACAUACAUAUAGGUAGCACUUGGUUUUGUUUUAAAACCGGGUGUGACAUACCCCCUCCCAACCACUGAUAACACAUCCCUGGCUAAAUUAAGCCAACUGAAGACAACCGCAAAACUUCUUAUAAAUACGGACCACUUCCCUACAUGCCCAAAUCACCUCCACAUUCAACUUGGUCAGGUAAGUAGCCAUACCGGUAAUAUUUCGGCCAGAAUUCACUUCUAUCCUCAAAUUCCAGUUAAAAUCUGUCCAUAUUCCAAAAUUUUCGCCCAAAAACCGGCAUGCCGGCCCUACCUCUCUAUUCCACAAGGGUGCAUGAACACUGUAUGAUACACAAAUUAUACAUUCCAUGAACUAGUUAUCCAUUUCUAAAUUGAUUAAAAUAGAAAUACAAACACGGUGUUUGUUUGAAAAAAGUUGAAUAUUUAUGAAACCAAUAUUGAAAAAAAUAGACUGAGCUGCUGGUGGAAUCUAUCUAACCCAGGGAAUGAAGCAAAGGACAAUUACUUUAUUCGACAUGCAUGCUGCUGGUUCAUAUGCUUCUCUCAAGGCCAGAGAUGUAAAUAUUUCGAUUUGGGCAUUAGUGACGGUCCAUCUCUAGAUGUGACUUUCACAUAAUUCUCUGUAAAAAUGACAAAUUACAACCUUAUGAAAUAUUUUCACAAGUCCAAAGCGAUUAUUUUUGUCAGAAUUUAUACGUGGGUGUAGAAUAAACAGCUACACCUAAAAUAUAUACAAUAGCACUUACACGUUUAUUUAUUGAUGGCUGAAUGAAGUAUAUACGAAAUAGAUAAGCAUACUCCUCCUUUAAUUUAUACAUAACUUAUACAUAUAAAUUAUACAUAUAAAUUUGACGCAUAACUUUGUACUAACAAUUUUUUAUGGGAUAAUUUUUCAACACAACUUCUCUAAAGGAUAACUUCAUUCUUUAUUUUAGAAAGUUAUAAAUUACACGCACGAUUUAUACACACAAAUAUUUUUCUAACAACAAUUUACGUGAUAAAUUUUGUAACAACAAUUUACGCAGGAUAGAACCGCAUGCAAUUAAGCAUCGGUACCAAGUUUCUGACGGCAGGUGUGGUCGCAUGCAUGCGCUCGGGAUGGAGGAACUAACCGCAUGCAUGGUUCGCUGUGCCUGUUGUCGUCAUCUUGGGGAUCAACGACGACGGAGCCUGGCACUGGCACCACCGUACCGGCAAACGGCUGGAGAACGAGGGCUGGCACGGCGGACCAGAAAGAAACACGAACAAGCCAAGCCUCGGGCCGCGCCCAUGAUCCCUGCAAGAACAAUCGCCACCGAGCCCAAUGAACUACGUACUGUUUUUUUCUCUUCUUGAUCCAAAGGCCGCCCCAACCCGGCCAGCCCGCUUGCAGAUCAUGCACCGGCUAAGCCUUUGUUGGUGGAUCCAAGUGAUGAUGAUAUAUAAAAGAAAGAAAAAAGAUGCACACAAAUAAUUAAAAAGACCAAGGGCCCAAGGCAUCGUGUCGUCCAUGAUGACUUGGAGCUUCCCCUGUCCACUGUAAUCAGUGCACACCAUGUGCGCACAUCCACCUUUGCUAAAGAAAAGGAUUAGACAAAGACCAAGGCAAGAAUCUAAUUAAUUAAUUAAUAUGUGAUACCCCUCCAUUUCAAAUUGCACGUCCUUUUAGUUUUUUAGAUUAUAGAUAUUAUUUAUGACAUAUAAUUUGGAACGGAGGGAGUACUAUAAUUUAUGACAUAUAAUUUGUAUUCUAGUGGAUAGUUUCUUCAAAAUAAAUUUUAUCCAAUCCCCUCUCACUACUGAAAAAUUGAGCAUUCGUCCUGAGGCUAAUGUGGGUAUUAGUAUCGAGCCUAACGGAUAGUUCCCGAGAUGGCCCACAUGAUCCCCUUUAGUACCGGGUGGAGGCUCCACCCGGUACUAAAGCUCCCAUUCGCCCCCUCUUUCUCUCACAGACCCCGCUGCUUCUUAUCCUCUCUCUCCUGUCCGUCUUCUUAUCCUCACACUUCCUCUCUCUCUCUCUCCCGUCUAUCUGCUUCUCUAUCUCUCUCGAUCUCCUUUCUCUCACCCUCGCACUCUCUCUUCCUCUACCUUCCCUCCCUUCCUCCCUCCGCUCGCCCCUCACCGACAAUGAGGAGCAGCGGCGAGGUGAGGCGGCGGCGGGCAGGUGGGAGCUGGUGGAGAGGGCGGCGGGGCCGGGCGAAGGUGGCGGCGGGGGCCGGGUGAGGCGGGGGCCGGGCGGAGGCGGAGGCGGGGGCCGGGCGGAGGUGGAGGCGGCGAGGUCGGGCGGCGGCAGGCGGCAGGAGCGUGGGCGGGCGGGCGGAAGCUGGCGGAGGGGGCGGCGGGGCUGGGCAGAGGCGAAGGCAGAGGUGGGGCCGGGCGGAGGCAGAGGGGGCGGCGGAGGGGUGGAGGGGAAGCGGGGCAUAGGCGGAGGUGGGACGGAGGGUGGAGGACGGUGGGGGCGGGGUCGGGCGGCGGGAGUCGGAGGGGCUGGGCAGAGGUAAGCGGAGGGCGGUUGGAGCCGUGGAAGGCUGGGGUCGGCGGUGGGGUGGGGGCGGCGGGGGCUGGCGGCAGGGCAGGGCCGGCGGUGGAUUUCUUUAUUUUUAUUUUUUAAUAGACCUUUAGUACCGGUUAUUUCAACUGGUACUAAAGGUCCCCCUUUAGUACCGAACUAUCAGUACCGGUUGCGAAACUGGUACUAAAUGGGGGUUCCCAGUCGGUACUAAUGACGCAUUCCCCAGUAGUGUCUCUUCCGUCUCAUCCCUUCCUUGGUUAUCGUGCUGAGCUGCCAUUCUCAAUGGAGUGGGGGUUUCAUGAGAUAGUUUCUAAGACUAUGGCAUCAUCUAAACUAAUUGGACGUACUCAGAUGAAAUGAAACUAUGUAGUUCUCGAUGUCAAUUUUACCAUGUACUCAGAUGAAAUGAAACUAUGUAGUUCUCGAUGUCAAUUUUACCAUGUACUCAGAUGAAAUGAAACUAUGUAGUUCUCGAUGUCAAUUUUACCAUGUUUCAUAGGAUCUGUUUAGCAUAGCUCCACCUUCGAGAUCCAUGUUAGGUCUGUACUCUGUAAUCUAAAAUAAAAUGAUUUAAAUAUUUGUGUUUAGUCUAAAUUAUAAACAAAAUAUUUUAACUAAAUGUUCCUGAUAGACCUGCAGCUCUAAAUCUAAUACCUAGCUCUAAGUGAUCCAAGUUUUUUCCCGUAACUCUGCCGAAUAGGGUUAUAGUCUUAGGAACAACGUAUACCAAGUUUUAUCCAAACGAAAUCCAUAUCUUCUCUCUUCUUAUAAAUACUUUAUCAUGUCAUUAUAUUUGAUGAGGCGACAUGCCAUUUAACAAGAAUAACCACGAUAAUGACCUAAUAAAAAAAAAGACAAAAAGGCCGAGGCCCAACGCAUCGUGUCCCUUACUUGGAGCUUUCCCAACCCUUUUAUAAUCAAAUUGCACAUCAUGUGCGCGCAUCCACCUUUGCUAAGAUAAAGAAUAGACAAAGACCAAGGCAAGAACCUAACAAUUGUUAUCACAUCUCAAAAAGCAAAAGCGAUCGAAUACGUUGCAUGCACAUGCAGCGGCAUCAUAUAUUAUGUGCACCACAAAGGGCCCUACUCAUCCUAUCCAGGCAGGUAUGCUUUGCUGUCCUUGCAUUGGAUCUUUUCCUUCGUAAUGCAUGCACCUUUAGCUCCGAAUUCCUCAAAGGGAGAGGAAAGAAUAAAGAAGGACCGACGCCGCAAUGAGAUCAAACAAUCACAUAGAAAUGAAAAAAAACAAAAAGACGAAAAGGACCAACAAUCGUAUCAUGUGUGCAUGAUUAUUUACUCGAAAAAAAUGUGCGUGAUUAUUGCACAUACACUCUUAAGGAACCAUGUUGAGUUGUGCUACACAUGUGGUUCAACAUGUUAGUGACGAGAGAUACAUGCAUAUUGACUUGUCGAAAUGGUUAGAGCUUUUUUGGACAUAUAGUUGCUUUACUCAAAUUGGUUAUACAUUGUUAAUUUAUUGGGGAUACCGUAAGAUCCUCAUAUAACUAAGCAUAGUGGAUUCAUUAGGUUCCUCGUAGUAGAAGCAUUCCACCCGGAUUUGAAUCCUAGACUUAACACUUCUGCUCAUUAUAGGAAUAAAUGAUGCUAUUUUUUAAGUGGAAGGUAGCAUGCCUAUCGGCAGCAAAGGCUGCUUCUAUGGCAACUUUGACAAUCCCAAUAUCUACUUUCAGUCAGGCCACUGGUCUCACGAAGGUACUCGUAAGGAUAGGGCGCGAUUGGUUAUGUUUAUAGGGAUGAGUGUAUGUGAAUGUUUACCUCUAUACUAUGUUUCAUAAAAAAGGUUAAGUAUGCAACAAAUGAGGCAGAUAUGGUAGACGAUAUGCCUCAAAUAAAGGAUCGCAAGAAUACAUGCGCAAGGCACAAUAUGUUAUCUUAGUUUUGUUCUAUUGCAUUUUGAGCGUAUAACUGAAUAAUAUGCAUGGCUUCUUGCUCUGUGUUGCUCCCUUUUGCCUAUAGGACUCAAUCUAUCAAAACUUCAUGCGCACCAAUACUAGUUAAAAAGAAGUCUUCAUGUCACGAAGUCGUUCGUGGUACACAUUCAACAAGCUCCAUCCGAGAAUGCAUGGUUGCAUAAUAAUGCUUGUUAGGUUCAUAUUCAUUUUACCUCACCUACAAGCAAAUUUCACUAGUGCCAUUGAAGCUAAUCUACAAGGCUUGAGAUAGUGUAUUCUUGGAGUCAACAGAGUGUAGUUCGACCCAUGGAUCCUGUCGCAUGCGGCUAGUAGGUUUAAGUGAUAAUUGGACUAGUUUAUGUGCACGUAAUGAUACGGUAUAUGCAUGGUGUGGAAGUUGUUCUAAACUCGUGCCCGAUUACAACUUAAGUAUGUGGUGCAUUGAACUUAUAUUCGAAUAAUCUCGAUCUGAUGCAUGUGAAAGCAACCAAUGUGUUCAUGUGUGAAUGAGUGUUAUAUCAUAUGCUACUUUGUACGUUUAGGGGUGCAAAUUAGUAACUCUACUAAGAGUCUCACCACGUCUCUGUAGUCCAACAAAUUGUACUAGCUAAUCAAAGGUGACAAAAAAUGCAUCGGGCAUGGCAGCCUCUGGCACACAAAAUUGUAGUACAAGUGUACAACAGAAAGAUAUACUCUAAUCCUAGAACCAAAUCAAAGCAACCAUCACGUAAGUUCAUAUCUGGAAGCACACAAAUGAUCAUAAGAUUUAAAUUUCUUAAAACAAACACACAGGUCGAACCGAACUAAUAAUCGUGUCGUCGAUUCCUUGUCCAUGAUGCACUCAUGCCAGUUAAUUAUUUAACUAGCCGCAAAGAACCGGCAGGGGAGCUGGUUCUACGCCGCUCACUUCAGCGGCGGCGGGGAAGAAGCUGACCGGCGCGCAUGUCACCUUGAUGUCGUACAGCCGCGUCUGCGCGAAGCCGACCUUAAAUCUUGCCACCGCGGUGACCGUCACGGCGAAGGCAUUGUUGGUCAUGUUGCGGGUGAAGGAGCGCACCAUUAAUGGCUCUCCCUUGAGGGCCGAGAACAGCGUCGCGUUGAUCCUGAUCUCCUUGAGCUUCGGCUGGAGCAGCGGCCUGGCCACCGCCGCCGAAAUGUCGGCCCUGAACGACAGUCCUCCCGCCACCGUGCUGUUGCUCACGUCGAUGUAGAUGUUGUCGUACUCCACCCGGGCGCGCGUGCUGGUGUUGUUGACGGAGAGGGUCAGGGCAAGCUCCACGCCAUCGGCGGUCUUGUGGCUGCUCGCGUCGGCGACGGAGAUGAGGAUGCGCGCGGGGCUCAGCACGAUGAAGAAGACGGUGACGAUGAUCGCCGCGACGAGGACCGCCAUCAGAGCUGCUAUGAUGUAUUGCUUCGCGGUCGGGGCCUUCACGCUCUUCGUCGUCGUCGUCGUCGCAGCCGCCUGAGGCGCCGGAGCUGGAGGUGCCAUGCUUAAGCUCGUAUUGGUUUGUGCCUUGUGCAGAUAAUAUAAUGUAUUGGUUUGCAUCAAAAAUCAAAGUGGCGCGCUGUCUGCCGCUGAACGUUUUUUUAAUAGAUCGCACGCGCAGGCGUUGCGGGAUGUGUGUGUGUGUGAGAGAGUAGUCAUGCUACUGACCAUGCAUGUUUGUAUGAUUGUUUGAAAACAAGAGUUAGUUAGUGGCAUUUUUGUAUGAAAAAAGGUCUUUAUUAGCAAAAAGAUCGAUGCUUUGUCCAUCAAAGGCAGCACCAAUAAAGAAGGACAUGAUGCACGCAUCUCGUACUGAUUCUGAACAGCUAGAAGAGUAUAGCUGUUAUUCGCAAGAGUGCUUAGAACGUUGUGUGUUAAGGACACUGCCAAGAAUUGGAUCGAGCAAAGGCAAAGCAAAAGGCGGAUAGAUAUGAUCUUGCGGUCAUGGCGGUCAGAUGGUGACAGCGCCAUAUGGAGUAGUCUUCAGGAAGAAGUUUCCUUCUAGAGAUUGGAGAGAAGCUAUUCUUGCUAGAAUCAUCACUCGGUGUGCAGCUUGAUUUAUUUGCUACUGCGGAUCGGGCGGGACGGACAUGGCAGAUUAUGAACUAUAUUAUAGAUUUGAUAACUGGUACGGAGUGGGUUAUGAAGACAUAUAUGGAUGGGCGUGUUCUGCGGUGGUGAGUGUAAUUUUGCAUAACUGGUUCACCUCCUAAAAUUUGAUUGUUCAGAUUGAUUUGAUCUCUUACCGACUUGUUUUUCAAAAGCCAUGCAUGUACAUACUCCCUUCGUUCCAAACGAGUAACUAUAUUUUGGAAGUAGGUAUCAUGGACCACUUUUAAGUUGCUACAUGAGAAUCCAGCAAAAGGAAUCUGUCUAAUCCAGUUAUUGAGGAAGCAAAGCAAAAAAGAAAAAGAAAAAACGGGAAUCAAAGGUGACAAGUUCGAUAGUGCUUUACUUUGAUUCGACGAACUGCGGAAAAAGAUUCGAUGAGAAGCACGUGAAAUUGGGUAUCUAUUUAGCUGUAAGGCUGGAACUAAAAUGCUUUAAAAAAAUUCGGUAGUCGCGGCAAACAAAAAAAAGAGUGCUUUACUUGCUUUAUUAUUUGACAUAGUGGUCCAAACAUCUUUCUAAAAAAAUUUGGGAAGAGAAUUGAAGGUAUGGUUCUUCUUUUAAAUUAAAGGAAGAGUACUAUGCUUAUCUAUUUCGUAUAUACUUCACUCAGCCAUCAAUAAACAAACUUGUAAGUGCUAUUGUAUAUAUUUUAGGUGUAGCAGUUUAUUCUACACCCACGUAUAAAUUCUGACAAAAAUAAUCGCUUUGAACUUGUGAAAAUAUUUCAUAAGGUUGUAAUUUGUCAUUUUUACAAGAGAAUUAUGUGAGAUGGACCAAAUCGAAAUAUUGUACUACAUCUCUGUCCUUGAGAAAAGCAUAUGAACCAGCUGCAUGCAUGUCGAAUAAAGUAAUUGUCCUUUGCUUUAUUCCCUGGGUUAGAUAGAUUCCACCAGGCUGAGUCUAUUUUUUUCAAUAUUGGUUCCAUAUAUAUUCAACUUUUUUCAAACAAACACAGUGUUUGUAUAUAUCUCUAUUUUAAUCAAUUUAGAAAUGGAUAACUAGUUCAUGGAAUGUAUAAUUUGUGUAUCCUACAGCCUUGUGGAAUGGAUAAAUACCGGAGGUGGUCGGUAGGGCCGGUAUGCCGGUUUUCGGGCAAAAAUUUUGGAAUUUGGACAAAUUUUAACUGGAAUUUGAGGAUACAAGUGAAUUCUGGCCGAAAUAUUACCGGCAUGGCUAUUUACCUGACACCACCGGUAGGAUCGAAAUUCACGAAAACCGGCCAAAAUCUAGAACCCUAUGUAUAUAUAGUUUGUACAUGCCCAUAAUUCAAAUACAUGCAUUUAAUUAAUGGAUAAGUAAUUCAAAUACAACCUUAAUAACUAGUAUAAGAUGAUCAUCUACACUCACAUGGGUAGGCCAUGCAAGAAUUAUAUAUGUGGAAAUACAAACAAUUCUUGCUAGAACAAUUCUUGCACAUGUGAUAUCUCAUAUCUGUAUACGUAUAAGCCCAGGCCAUGUACACAGAGAGAUGGGGUUAGCUCGACUUUACAUGCCAUUUGUCUCUAUAUAGUAGGUGAACUCAACCUAUCAAUUGCUUUUAUAGUAGGCCACCAAGCAAAUCAUAAGCCAGGACACGGCGGCCAAAAAAAAUUAAUCUGACCGCCGGCUGUCGUCGUAAGAGCAUGGCAGCGGCCGGAGCAGCAGGUGACGGCGAGAAAUCAGGGUUCCGGUGGCUAGACUUGGCAAGGUACGCGGUGGCCGCCGUGGUGACCGUGGUGAUCAUCGCCGUCGUCGUCCACGCCAUCCAGGUGGUGUUCCGCCCCGACUCCCUGACUCUCUCGGUCCUCGGAGGCUCCGUGUCCACGAACUCGUUGCCGCCGGCGACGGACCCUUCCCUGUCCUUCUCCUACACUCUCCGUGCUCGGAACCCCAGCGGCCGCGUCCGCAUGUACUACUUCAACAUCAACACGUUCCUCUUCAACAGCAGCACGCCGGCGACCACGCCGGAGCCGAUGGCCGACUGCUUGGUCUCCUUCCAGCUGCCAGACAUGUCGGUGAUGCAGAUGCGGUUCACGGACAGCCUGAUACAGCGGACUGUCCAGAGGAAUCCUAAUGAUAUCAUGCCGUUCGCCUUCGACGCAUUGCACAAAACCGGGGGCAGCAUCAAGGACGUAACGAUGCUAGUGAACGGCACGCUCGUCACCGAGAUCAGGUUCGGGUUCAACACCACCCCUCGGGUCGUCAAAUACUACUGCAGGCAGCUCGUAGUCGGCUUGUACGACGUCGCCACGAUGAAAACUGAUCAGGAGACCAGCUGCACAACGUCGUCGUGAUCUCGUCAUUUUCCUUCAAUUUUUCUGUGUUGAAAUUAAGUCGGAUUUGAUGUAAUGUACCACACCUCCCAUUCCUUUAGCGUGUGUGUUUUUAAUUUUUCAGGUAAUUCUGCUUUUUCUACGAGCUGUGUAUCAUCUGAUAUCCUGUCUUCUAAUAUAUAUAUAUAACAUUAAUAAGUACUCGGGUGUGAUACGAUUUCUGGGUAGUUAACUUGAUCGUCCUUAGGCUAAAAACAACAUGUCAAGAAUAACCGAGAGGGAGAGAAAUAGUGAGAAUAGAGACACCCACCAUCGGGCUUGGAGGAUGAGCUCGCCAUGGGCGGUGACGGCGGCGUUGAUGGCGAGUGUGGGAGGCGGCGGCGCGGCGUAGGUGGCGCUAGGACGGCGGAGCUUCCCGCCGCUUCAGCCCUAGAUUGAUUGGGUCUAGGGUUUGUUAGGUGGGUUUGGCGGGCACGUUCAACCUCGGCGUGCGUGCCCCCAGCCCACCUCUCUCUUUAUAGCGGUGCGCGAUGGGGGCCCGCAACCAUGAGUUGGUUGUGCACCCCCGAGCAGGGCGCGAGAUAGGGUCCGACUCAGUCGUUGGACCAGAUCAACUCUAACAUUCUCGCCUGAUCUCACCUUUUGUUUAAACUUAGAUUUAAACUUUAACACUUAACUUGGCACCCAUUUCAUUACAGAUUAGUAUGUAGAGCAUGCCUCGUCAUGAUAGUCAGUUAUGUACUAUUGGAUUCAAUAGCUGUUUUAAAACAAAUUCUUAUCCUAGGCCUUUAGUAUCCAGGGAUCAUAGGCUUUCUCGUAAACCCAUGCCGGCUAAGUGUUCUCUGAGCACAUUAGGCGGUAAGCCUUUUGUGAGUGGAUCCGCGAGCAUUUCAUUUGUUCUUAUAUGCUCUGGACUAAUGGUAUGAUCAUGAAUUUUCUCUUUCACAACAUAAAACUUGAUGUCAAUAUGUUUGACAGCACCACUUGACUUAUUGUUGUGAGCAUAAAACACUGCUGGAUCAUUGUCGCAUUACAUCUUGAGUGGCUUUUGAAUGCUAUCUAUCACUUUCAACCCGGGUAUAAAUUUCUUUAGCCAUUUGGCCUAUCCUGUGGCCUCAUAACAUACUACAAACUCAGCAUACAUCGUGGACGAUGUAAUGACGGUUUGCUUGGAGCUUUUCCAUGAUAUUGCUCCACCUGUGAGAGUGAAUACAUAACCUGACGUGGACUUUCUAUUGUCUACAUCUCCCACAAAAUUUGAAUUUGAGUACCUUUCUAUUUCUAGGGAAUCAACUCUUCUGUAUGUUAACAUUAGGCCUUUUGUGCCUUGCGUAUAACACAAUGCCUUCUUUACCAUUCUCUAGUGAUCCAUUCCUGGAUUAUCCUGAUAUCUGCCAAGUAUCCCGAUCACAAAAGCUAAGUCAGGACGUGUACAUACUUGAGCAUACAUUAAGCUUCCGACAACCAAAGCAUAGGGAACAACUUUCAUUUGAUCGAUCUCAUAUUGGUUCCUAGGACACUGAAAUUUCCCAAAUCUAUCACCCUUGAUUAUGGGAGCAGGCGUAGGUUUACUCGCAUGCAUACUAUAUUUCUUUAGAUUUUUUUCCAAGUAUGCCUUUUGCGAUAAUCCUAAAAUCCCUUUUCUUCUAUCUCAGUGAAUUUCAAAUUCCUAAAACGAAUGAAGCUUCAUCGAGAUCUUUCAUAUCAAAAUUCGAGGACAAAAACUUCAUCUCCAAUAGCAGAUUAACAUCAGUACUAGCGAGUAAGAUGUCAUCUACAUAUAGGAUGAGAAAAAUAAAUUUUCUAUUCUUGAACUUUGCAUAAACGCAAUUGUCCUCCUUAUUCUUAUUAAACCCAAAUUUUCUUCUUGUUUCAUCAAACUUAAAAUACCACUACCUGGAGGCUUGUUUUAAUCCGUAAAUAGAUUUCUUCAGGCGGCAUCCCAUACAUUCUUUUCCUUCCAUGACAAAAUCUUUGGGUUGUGCAAUGUAAACAUCUUCAUAUAAAUCUCCAUUGAGGAAUGCCAUCUUUACAUCCAUAUGAUGUAAUUCCAAGUCAUAGCGCGCCACUAAAGCUAUUAUAAUUCUAAAGGAAUCCUUACAUGAGACUGGAGAAAAUAUCUCAUUAUAUUCUAUUCAUUCUCUUUGCGUGAACCCUUUUGCCACAACUCACGCUUUAUAUCUUUCCACAUUCCCUUUGGAGUCACAUUUUAUUUUGUAGACCCAUUUACAGCCUACUGUCUUGGCUCCUUUAGGAAUUUUUUCUAAAUCCCAAACAUUAUUGCUACUCAUAGAUCUUAUUUCAUCUUCCAUAGCUUCAAGCCAUUUUGAUGAGCGAGCGCUUCUCAUGACUUCUUCAAACGAGGUGGGAUCUCCCUCCAUUUAAACUUCUUCACUAACAUAGACUUUGUAGUCAUCAGGAAUAGCUGGUUUUCUAACUCUGUGAGACCUUUUGGGGGCCUCAACAUUUGGCGCAUCUACCAUAUGGGGCUGCUACAACUCUUCCUCAUGUGUAACAAGUUCUAUAGGAUCCUGAAGGACAGGUUCCUCAUCUUCAUUUGUUGUUGCUAUGGGAGAACUAACAAUAGGUGAUGUUACCAUAGUGUCAUGUACUGUUGGUGUAGCAACAAUAGGUAUCGAGAAAAACAGUUCCUGAAUAAUCGGAGUGGGUACGUAUACUCGCUUCUCCUUGAGGCUAAUUUCUCGGGCUAACAUGCUCCCUCUGAUCAUCUCAUCCUCGAAAAGUACAGCGUGUCUUGUUGCUACAAACUUAGUAUGUCUGUCAUGACAGUAGAAAUGAUAACCUUUUGACUUAUCUGGAUAGCCAAUGAAAUGGCAAGUGACGAUCCUAGGAUCCAUUUUUCCAAUAUUCGGGUUAAAUACUUUAGCCAUAGCCAGACAGUUCAGUGAGGGCUCUCUUCCAGUCCACAACUCAUAUGGUGUUUUAGACACCAACUUAUUGGGAACCUGAUUAAGAAUGUGAAUGGUGGUUUUUAAUGCCUCCAUUCACAAAUUAAUCGGUAAAGUGGAGUAACUUAUCAUACUUCUCAUCAUAUCCAUUAAUGUACGGUUGCGUCUUUCAGCAAAUCCAUUUUGCUGAGGCUCGCCUGGUGUGGAGUAUUGGGCAACUAUGCCGUUUUCUUGCAAGAACCUUGCAAAAGGUCCAGGAGCUUGGCCAUAUGGGAUAUGUCGACUGUAGUUCUCCCUCCCCCCAACGGUCAGAUCUUACUAUCUUAAUCUUUAAAUUGUGCUAAUUUUCUACUUCAACCUUAAAUAUCUUAAAUUUAUCCAAUGCUCCUGAUCGUUCCUUAAUUGGAUAAAUGUAGCUAUAACGUGAAUAAUCAUCUGUGAAUGUUAUAAAUGAAUUAUAACCAUCCACAGAUAUCACAGGAAAAUGAUCAUAGAUGUCUGUGUGAAUUAUUGCUAAAAUUCCUGUACUUCGUUUGGCGUCUUUCUUAAUUUUCUUAACAUACUUUCUCUUAAUGCAAUCAAUGAAUUGCUCUAAAUCUGAAAAUUCUAAGGGCGGAAGAAUUGAUUCCUUGAUUAAUCAUUCAAUUCUCCCCCUCGAAAUAUGGCCUAAACGACAGUGCUAUAAUUUUGAAGAUACAUCAUCAAUUCUUUUCUACUUAUUUAUUACAUUCAUAGAUGAGGAGGCAUUCACAUUCUCAGUGCUUACAACAUUCACAUUCUCACCAAGUGAUAGCAAAUAAAGCUCAUCUUGUCUGAAGGCAAGACCAACACACUUGUUAUUAAACUUAAUCUUACAUUGUCCAUCACCAAAGUGACAAGCAAAUCCAUCAUUGUCUAAGUGCGAGACACUUAUUAAAUUUCUACGCAAAGAGGCCACAUAGAUAACAUCUCAUAUAUGAAGUACAAAACCAUCAAUUAAUUCUAAUGGUUCUUUCUCCUCUUUGGAGGGUCCUCCUCUUUUGGAAUCCCUGUAAUGAAUUUGUAACAUGAAUUUGCAACAUGAAUAAUUGCACCUGAAUCAAUCCACCAAGUAAAUUUUGCGUAACUUAAAUACAAGGACUCGUCUAUGAAUGUAAUAAGGUCAUCACCUUUCUUACACAGAUGCUUCAGGAAAUCCACACAAUCUUUCUGAUACUGUCCCUUCUUCCUGCACCACUUGCAAGUGUCCCUGUCUACCACUUCAUGGUUUGAUCUUUGAUGGUGAUCAUUUUCUGGAGCCUUUCCAUGUGCCUUAGAAGAGGAAGUAUUUGUUGGGAUACGAGGUAGGCUAUGCUAGCGCGAAACAAAGAUUUUCUACCGUGUAAACCAGGAAAACUGCCAUAUAUAGAUCACGGGAUUACCACUCGACGCACAGGUGCGGAAGUUGUAGAAUCACGUUGGGGCAGCGAAGUCGAUCAAUGUAGUCGAACACGUCGAUGUCGAGCAGCUCCUCAGCAGCUCAUCCACGUACAGCGAGGUCCUCCUCAUGCCGUGGCUCGUCGGCAGCUCGUCGUGGCUCGUCCAAGUGCUGCAGGUGCAACACCUCCAAGGUAUCCAUAUGUGCAGGGAGGAAGCGUCGCAAGCCGGACUGCUAGGUCCGUGAGUUGCAACGAGGCGGUGGCGUAGGAGGCGCGGCAGCUGUGGUUCGUCCAAAAGGGAUAAACCCUAGGGUGCCCCCCACCCCUCUAUAUAUAGGGGUCCCUAACGGGCCUCUAGGUCCGAGGCCUAUUAGUACUCCUAAACCUAGUCCAAUUCAGAUCAUAUCCGAAUUGGGCUUCCAGCCCUUUAAGUGUGUGACCCUAUAGGUUCAUAUGCGUAUAGACAUGGCCCGAGUACUCUUACUCGGCUAAUAGUUAGUAGCGGCCUCUAGCAAGACGUGCUAACUCCUACACGCACACGGAGAUCAUAUCAGACGAUCCAUCACAACAUCACGUACAUGCUAUUCCCUUUGCCUCACGAUAUUUGGUCUAGCUCCAAGACAACCACUCUUUCUCGAUACUGUGAUUUGGAAUCCCUUUCUAGGUUAACUCUUAACCUCACGUAGCAUGGCCAUGCAUUCCCAGAUUCGAUCACUCGAGGGGCCCAGAGAUAUCUCUCUCAAAUAGAGAGGGGAAAAUUCCAUCUUGACUGACCAUGCCUCAUAGCAUGCUUCUUGACAAACCUAAAAUACCUUUAUGACUACCCAGUUAUGGUGUAGUGUUUGAUAGCCCCUAAGUAAGUUGAUCCACAUCUUGAGUACAUGCACAGUAUUAGGUCUAAGUACAAAGCGUACACGUUGUGUAAAGAGAGAACUACGUAACUCGUGUUGAGUCAGUCCUAGCACAUGUCUCCACAUACGCCUACAUUAUUAGUUUGACAUCUCCAUGUCGAUGACUUGUGAAACAUAGUCAUCAACUAAUACAUGUACUAGUCUAAUAUUCAUGUGUGUCCUCACAUGAACUCCGACUAGGGACAACUUUUAGAAUAACCAUACAAGUAAAGAGUUUCACAUACAAUUCACAUAAUUGUAAAUUAAUUCAAGUAGCCUUUAAUGGAUAUUCAAGGAACAUAAUAUAAAACAUGGAUACAAAGGAACAUCAUCAUCUCUAUGAUUGCCUCUAGGGCAUACCUCCAACAGUAUUGUCCUACUAAGGUUUCCCUUGUGGCUUAGAAUUAUUGUUAUGAUAAUUACUCUUCUUAUUUUGCCUCACGUAGUUGAUAGAAUCACCACGUGAGCCCUUAAUUCUCUUCUAUCUUGCACACACAUGGCAAUAAGCUUUUCAAUGCCCCACUUGUCAGGCUGUGAGUUGUAAUUAACAACAAAAGCCUCAAACUCCUUAGGUAGGGAUGCAAAGAUCAAAUGACUAGAAACUCAUCACUGAGCCCCAUGUACAUAGGUUAAGCUUAGAUGCCAUACUGCUCAUCAUCAAUAUGUGCUCCCGUACCCCCCCCACCAGUGUACUUCUCAGUAACUAGCCUCUUAAUGAGAGGGCUUGCAUAAGCCUUUGAAGAGCCCGUAAACUGACUCUCCACCUUCCUAAGCCACUCCUUAGCGGUGGUACACUCUGGGAUUGCCCCCCUUAUAGCAUCCACAAUGGAGCUCUUAAUCACCAUCAAGCAUUUGCAGUUCCACUGAUCAAAUUGCACAUGAUCAAGAUCGUACUUCAUUCUAAUUGGUGCAUGAUCAUGCGCUCGAGCGAAAUCUGAAAUUUGUCUUCCAUUUUUGACUCGAGAUCGAAAUCCCCUCCUUCUAAUUGCUGAGACGAAAACUUUUCCGACUAGAUCUACACUCUAGUGUUAGGCGGAAUUCUGGGUCUCUAGGUGUGAAUCUAGCGGGUAGUUAACUUGACCCUUUGUCUAAAAACAACAUGUCCUAUGGCUAAUAAAAAAUAGGGAGAGAGAGAUAGUGAGACUAGAGAUACUGACCAUCGGGUUUGGAGGACGAGCUUGCCAUGGGUGGUGAUGGCGGCGUUGACGGCUAGUGUGGGCGGCGGCGGCGCGGCGUAGGUGGCGCUAGGGCGGCGGAGCUUCCCACCACUUCAGUGCUACAUUGAUCGGGUCUAGGGUUUGUCUGAUGGGUUUGGUGGGCACAUUCAACCUCGACGUGCGUGCCUCCAACACCCACCUUUCUCUUUAUAGCGCUGCGCGAUGGGGGCCCACAACCAUGAGUUGGUUGUGCGCCCCCGAUCAGGGCGCGAGAUAGGGUCCAACUCAAUCGUUGUCUGUUCCCUUAAUUAAUGAAGGGUCAAAACUACUCCUUCCAUUACUAGGGAAAUGGCAUUCAUUACCGGUUGGGAACCCCCCUUUAGUACCGGUUUCGCAACCAUUAUUGUUAGUUCGGUACUAAAUGGGGAGGCCAACCCGUACUAAUUCAUUUUUUUCUUUUCUCAUUUUCUUUUCUAUUUCUUUAUUCUAUAUUCGUAUUUCAUAUUUAUUUGCUUUACAUAUACUAGUUCUAAUACGCUAAUAUAUAUAAAGUUGUAUUUAUCUUCAAUAUUACAUUUGAGAUACUAUUAUAUAUAUAAACAUAUUGUGCAUACACAUAUAUGAAUAAUAUUACAUUGCCUCAACUUUCCAAAUUCAACAUUUUGUAUCAACUAUUCUGAUCCCAAGGCCUGACGGUGAUGUAGAUUUGAUCCAUCAUUAUGAAACUCCCCCGCUGGAUUUACUACCACGUCCAAAAAAAUCCACAGAGUUAUUCUUGAAUUGCCCUGAUGCAGUUUGUGUCGAGGACUCUUUCCUUCUUGUACAUCAUCUGUGUCAUUGGCAAAGGUUAUUAUAUAUAUAGUAGAUCAAUGUGUUUGCACAAUUAGAACUAAUUUAUUAUUAAUAAUUUUGUAUACGUACGCUUAAUUCGUGGUCGGUCAUACGCUUUGGACCUCCAAAGCCAUAGAUGAACUCACAUACAUAGUAUCUGCAUAAAUUAUUCCCCGGCUCCUGUCUCCAACACUAUAUAUAUGGCAAAAAAAGUUAUAAAAUAUUUGUUGUGUUUAAGGAAGUGUCACAUGAUGUGAAAAUUCAACACAUAUCAGGAACUCAGUCUUCCAAUAAAGUUCCUCCUUGAAUUCACCCACGUGAUUUCUACGGAAUUGAGCCUAUGCUUUGUUCAAAACAUCUAUGAGGCCUUUGUAUUCAUCUCUUGGUUUCCUCAAAGAGUCCAUGACAAUUACUGUGCUCAUAUUAGGCAUGACAACAAUGAGUAUCCAAUGGAAGCUGUACAACCAAAGCUAGUUAGUUUUAUGUUUAACUAUUAGUUCAAAAAAGAAAGAGAUGGGAAACACACUCACUUGAAGUUGUACGGUAGUAGUAUGUACUUCUUGUAAUGUUGCUUGUCGAGGAACUUAUAUAUAUUCUUCAAUGUCUGAUUUGGUUUAUCUCUUAGAGUUGACUCGUUUACAACAUCGGGGUCCAUGAAGCCUACAUCAUAGUAUCCUUUCCUCAGACAAUUUUGAAUCUUCAUCCUGCAUGAUACAAAAUCAAAUCGGAGUUAAGACAUCGCACAAUGACUAGAGAGGGAAUUUUGAAGUUAGAGCAAAUUAAAGACUUAUAGAUCUUAGGAAUUGAUGAGUGAUUUGUCAAGUGCGUGUUGAUUGUAAAGGUAAUAUAGUUCCUCCAGCAGCACAUUUAUAAUGUUUUCCCCACGAAAAUAAUGUUGAUCUUUAAUCCGAACUUCGAGCAUGAAGAAACCAUUGGCUGAAGCCUCCAUGUACCAUUGGUGCAACUUGUACAUCUUCGUUGGAAGACAGUCCACCAACUGUGGUCACAGAAGCAUUUUCCCGUACUCAUAUUUCCAUUUAGCAGCCCCAGGGUGCUUUGGGUUGUGAUCCUCCCCUUGAAGUUGAGUUGUGGUGAGAUUUGUAUCUUUGGCGAAUUGUAGAAGGUUCUGAUCAAACUCCGAAAGCAUCUUGAGAGAGGCAAUCAAUUGGUUGGAUUGGGCUCAACGACUUCGCCAUGGAAGAGCUCUGAUUCUACGAGGAAGGGGACAACUACCACUACCAGGGGCUCAAGCUCCAUAAGGAUGAGAGCUACUUUCAGUUCCUGGAUUUCGGGUAAGCACUCCUUGAUGGUAUUGCAGGCUGUAGAGAGCUGGGGGAUAAAGCUUCGUGGGGGAAGUUUUGGAGGGCUAAGAGUUCAGAGAUGCAAAAGCUUGUGGCUUGGAGCAGGUUACUGGGGUGGUGCGUAUUUGUAGGCCGGAUUGGAGAGGAUUACUGGACUAGUACAGCAGCAGAAGCCGAUUGUUUGGUUCAGAUGGUGAGGAAGGAGAGGAAUGGCGUGCCACGCGGAGGAGUCCACAAUUUAUCUCGCUCACAUUUGCCAUAAUUUAUUUCGCUCAUAUUUGAAAAAUACUAAACUAUGAAAUUAUUCCUCUAACAUCAUAUCAAUAUCUUUGACUAAUACGAAAUAUAGCAUCCAAAAAAUUGUAGCUUAUUCUAAAAAUCACAAAUAUGAGCUCUAAAUAACACAUUCAUAUAAAUGAAAAUUUUCUCCAUUGUACCUUAUUCUAAAAAUCACAAAUUACUCUAGCUGUAAAGCAUAAAACUUAGUAUACUAACCAUGUAUCGAGAGAGGAUGAAGUUUCUAACUUUUAGAACACUUGAAUAAGUGAAAUCCCCAAGAAAUGGUCUUCAAUCCGGUAGCACCUCCGCUAUGACGCCAUGGAUAGGGUGAAGCUCGAGUUGUGGUGAAUGGCUCAGGCAGGAGGAAGAAGGAGGCAGAUGUAUAAGAAGAAAUUUAGUACUGGUUGGGGACACCAACCGGUACUAAAGCCCGGCGGCACAUUAGUACCGUUUGGUUCCCUCAUCCGAUACUAAAGGCUUGGUGGCACAUUAAUACUGGGUGGGGUAACCAACCAGUACUAAUGUGCACCCUUUAGUACCAGUUGGUGCCCCCAACCGGUACUAAAGGUGCUCACACGGCCAGCCUCGGGAACUAGCUGUUAGGCCCGGUACUAAUGCUCACGUUUGUACCAGAUCUAAAUGCAACCGGUACUGAGCCUCGGGAUGAAUGCUCAGUUUUUCAGUAGUCCUCCGUACUAAAAAAACAAGCUAUUUUGUAAUUAAAAAUUCAUCCCAAAAUAAAUAUGCAUGCAAUAGUUAGUUAGCAACAAAUAUGGCUAAUAUAUAGGGAACUCCUUUUCUUAAUACUAAUUGUCAGGCUCAGCUGGAUUAGUCGCCGCCCUACACUACUAGCACUUACAAAGACGAAAGCAAGAUCAUUUUACCUUUUUGUUAAUCUAUUCUAAAAUCUCUUUUUUAAGGAUGGGGAAACAUAUAUAUAUAUAUAUUGUAUUGAUAAUUUUUUCUUGCAAAAUAGUUGCAUUGACUUAGUUUUAGUUGAUGGGGGUAUCGUUGCCUUGUCUUUGUUUCUCUGCUUGGCAGCCCUUCCUCAUCUCUCAACACCAUGCAUGCAACACAUAUCCUUACGACACCUCAGGCAAAUGACGAUGCCGUGAGCAAAGGUUAAUCACGAUCCAUAGGGAUAUGACCAUUCUCGGGGCUUUUCUAAAGAAGAAGCACGACCUUCUUCUGGCAGAGGGGAACUUUUGAACCAAAUCCGUGACUUUAUACAAAAGCAUGAAUGAAAGGUCUUGUUCGGUUAAUUCCCUUCCCAAGGGGAUUGAGGGAGAUUUUAACUUGUAGGAUUUAAUUCCUCCCAACCCUCUCCAAUCCCCUUCAAACGGAAUAAAGCCCACGGAGAAGAGGACAGGGGGCUUAUUUUUCUCACACAGGCAAUUAAUAGUGAUGGGUCCAUAGAUCCGGGGUCCCCAACAGGACUGUUUCCAGUAAGAUUGAGCCCAACAAAGACCGUGGCGAUAGCAAAUACUUGGGCCGGCUUGACUACGUACAGGUUGACCAAAGCCGCGACCCAGCCACCAACCAGCUUCCCCCGACUGGGAGAACUGAUUGACGAACCAACUAGACGGAGUCCACCAGGGGUGGGACCAUAGUCCGACCCCGACCAGUGUCUCCCACUAGCUCUCCUCGGAUUGGCACUCCCCGACCCGUUUUCCCGACCAGGCUCCCACCAUACCACUUGCGACAACCCCCCGACCAUGGAUGGCCACCAGGAGUGGGCCCCAGGAGCAGGUGGGAUGGAUAACAAGGCAACUCCUGGGUCAGCCGGCUGUAUGCGGAGCCACGCCGCACCACGCCCUGCACACGUCUGCUCAGUGGCACCAUAAACCUACCCGCUACGGCGUGACGGCUCGACAUUAUGGCAUAGUGGCCUGACACCAUGGCGUGAUGGCCUGACGUAGCAGCAUGAUGACAUGAUGAGGAGAAUAGGGACUGAGGAUGGAGGUCAUACCAUAUCUGCUAGCAAGGGAUUCGACAAGACUAGCCAGUGCCCGUACACCCACUCUCUCUUUCUUCACCCGACCUGUAAGGGCCGCCCCCUUGUGCUAUAAAAGGGCGCGGCCCCUCCCCCUCUAGACACGAGCAUACAUACACAUGCACACAUACGGAAGAGAGGCACAACAAACAAACGAAGCACACUACAAUAGAAGAUCGACGCACAUGCACAUACUUUCACUUGUAGCGCACUCCACCUCCAUCGCUUAGCUCAUGUCUGAGCUCCGCUUACACCAGGGCUCAGACACCCCUCUUCUUCCUCCUCUUGUUUGUACCCCCACUGCAAACUUUGAGUACUUGAGCUCAGGAAUAAAGUCGAUGACUGACCCCCUAAUUGGACGUAGGGCACAUUGCCCGAACCAGUAUAGAUCAUGUGUCAUUGAGUGAUAGGCCAUAUCCGAUCAACGCAACGGCAAAACUACGUAUAAUUAUUUGUCAGCCAGAUUUCGCACUGACAGUUGGUGCCAUCCAUGGGGAAGACGCCGUUGCAUUCUCAUUUUCAGGUCAUCGGAUGGCCCAUCUCGUUGCUGUAGCUGGCAUGGUGAUCGUCAGCGAUACAAUUUGUUUUGGCUCGCUGGAGUUCCCUGCUCCCGCUCUUGGUGGGACGUGGCUUCCGUCGGUCUUCGAACCACUCCAAACCUUCCACUUCGGAAACCUGGACUUCAUCGCUGACUGGCUCAGCGUACUUCAUCUCUGUGAGGAGGCAAACCCCCCGGCAUCCCUUGGAAAGGUGGCCCGCAUCAUUGCCGACGAGCCACUCGACAACCUCAACGUGGAAACCCUUGCGCUCCGCAUCGAGUCCGUGCUGGGCGCUAGCCCCACGACCAACGACGUGGAUACCAUGGUGUAUUCACUCGUCAACACUUUCAAUCAGCUUUCUAGGGGACCUCCGUUGUCCUUGCCAGGCCCGCCGUGAGGAUUCUUUCCUUUCGGCCUAUCGUCCCCUGUGAACGCGUACGCGUGGGACCUCUAGAGGGUCAUGACGCCGUUUGCCCCCCCGUGUGAGUACAUGGGGAUGACGGACUAUGCCCCCGUCUCAUUUCUUGAGCUCCUUUAUGAUGAGUUGCUUGAGAGCGACAGCUCCACCGAUGGUGACGUGAUGGCGCUCGAUCAUCCUCCGUCUUGUGAGCGCGCCAUGGCGGACACCACGGAAUCGGUCCCUGAGGUGGCGGAGUCCACCGAGACUCGUACCCCGUCGGAUCACCGUGCAGAAGCGCAGGUGUGGGCUUAGGGGCAUAGUGAUGCGCUGCGGUAACACUCGCCAUCGGUGCAGCCACCGCUGCCGCCAGCGCGCCCGGCACACCACUCUGCGCCUCAUGCACGCAACCCAGGAAGUGGAGCCCGAGGCCGCGCCCGUCAGGUCCAGCGCAACAUCAUGGCUGAAGGGGAUGAUCCCCGUAGUUCGCUCAGGCUGGACAGAACAUCGCCGCUGCUGCGAUGCUUCUACGUAGCCUCCCUGAGCCAGCUGACCCUAAGGAGCAGGCCAUCCACUGGAACCUCCAGGCGCUGGGGGAAACCACUGCCGUACAGCUGGCGUAGAGCUCCACCUCGCACCAACAACAUGCGGUCUCUUUCCCUACAGGGGUAGUGGGGGCGCAGCAGUUGAAUCGUUCGGUUUACUCUCCCCCAUAGCCAUGUCGCACCAUGCAUAGUGCUGCGGUAGCACCUCAGCCUGCCCCAACGCUAGCACCGGCAUCACAGCGCCAGCCUAUGCGUGAACGGGUUCGGCAAAACUGCGAUGUGCGUAGUGUCAUUCACGCACGACGCCUGGCACGACACGAAGCUGACGUCGACCACAUGGCGGCAAAGGCGGCCGAUGCGGCACACAACCGCUCCAAUGAGGAGUGCGAGGACGUGCACCCUAGGCGUGCCCGCCAUCAGAACAACCGAGACAAUGCCCAAAGCCCUAGCCUGAACGGACUGGGGCUGCAGACCUUCGGACGGAACAUCUGGAAGGCGCCUUUCCCGUAGUGUUUUCGGCCACCCACCAACAUCGUUAACUACACUGAGAAGACGAACCCCAGCGUGUGGGUUGAAGACUACCGGCUCGCCUGUCGAGCCGGUGGUGCUGAUGAUGACCUCUUCAUCAUCCAGUACCUCCCCAUCUGCCUGGGGGAGUUUGUCCGAGCCUAGCUCAAAUUCCUUCCGCCCAAUAGCAUCCGUGACUGGGCAGGCCUUGAAAAGGUCUUUGUGGGGAACUUCCAGGGGACCUACGUCCAUCCUGGGAACACCUGGGAUCUCAAAAGCUGCAAGUAGGAGCCUAACGAGUCCCUGCGAGACUAUAUUCGCAGGUUCUCUAGGCAAUACGACUCCCUUCAUGACGUCGUCGACGUGGAAGUCAUCAGCGCUUUCCUUAGAGGGACAACCUGCAAGUCCUUGGUUCACAAGCUUAGCUGCGUCAAGCCCCGGACGACCCGCGACUUGCUGGAUAUUGCCACUAACCAUGCCUUCGGUGAGGAGGUGGUCGAGGCGGUCUUUAGUGAUGGCCAAGAGAAGGCAAGGCCAAGUGUGAGGACCAGGACACGGGCCCUUCCUCCCGAUAGGGGAAGAAGAACAAGAAGGAGCGGCGUCGAGUGGCUCACCCAGCUAUAGUUGCGGUGACCGACCGGCCAGAAAAGCCACUUCAGGAGGGCCGCAAUGACCACUUCGAGAAGUUGAUGAAAAGUCCCUACACCAACCAUCCUUUCCCCAUCAAGCACCUCUACAAGGCAUCUUUGCAUGGAAGCCAGCUGACAUGCUCGGAAUCCCGAGGGAGGUCGCCGAGCACGCACUACGCAUCACCCCGGGCUUGAAGCCCGUCAAGCAGCAUACACUGUUUCGAUGAUGACAGGCGUAGGUCCAUAGGCAAGGAGAUCGCCAACCUCUUGGAGGCCAGUUUUAUCAAGGAGGUGUACCACUUUGACUGACUCACCAACCCAGUUCUUGUAAAAAAGAAGAAUGAGAAAUGGAGAAUGUGCAUUGACUAUGCUAGCCUAAACAAGGCGUGCCCUAAGGACCACUUUCUUUUGCCGCGCAUAGAUCCGAUAGUCGACUCCACUUCGGGAUGUGAGAUCCUCUGUUUUUCUGGAUGCCUACUCUGGCUAUCACCAGAUCGCGAUGAAGGAGUCCGACCAGCUUGCGACCUCCUUCAACACCCCGUAUGGUUCAUAUUGCUACGUGACCAUGCUGUUCCGUCUAAGGAACGUUGGUGCCACCUACCAGCAGUGUAUGUAGUGGUGCUUCACCGACCAAAUCGACCCACCCGACCGGCCUAAUGGGACGGAACGGCCGAAGGGUACCAUCACAGUCUACGUGGACAACAUAGUGGUAAAAUCGGCUCGGUCAGGUGACCUGAUCGCGGACUUGACCGCCACUUUCGUGAACCUCUGAAGGUUCAACGUCAAAUUGAAUGCGAGAAAUGUGUGUUCAGGGUCCCGAAGGGAAAGCUGCUCGGAUACAUCAUCUCCGAGCGCAGCAUUGAAGGCAACCCUGAAAAAAUCUCGGCCAUUUCCAACAUGGGCCCAAUACGCAAUGUCAAGGGUGUACAAAGGCUCACCGGGUGCUUGGCCGCCCUGAGCUAUUUUAUCUCCCGACUCGGUGUGAAGGGAGUGCCACUCUACAAGCUCCUGAAGAAGUAGGACACGUUCAUCUGGACGGAAGAGGCACAAAAGGCCCUAGUGUGCCUCAAAACGUUGUUGACUUCAGCCCCGGUCCUCGCCGCGCCCGAGCGAGGGGUACCCCUCCUACUCUACCUCACGGCAAGGGACCACGUGGUCAGUGAUGUCCUCGUUGUAGAGAGGGAGGAUCCUGGGCACAUGCUGAAAGUCCAGUGACUAGUGUACUUCGUCAGCGAGGUACUCACCGAUGCCAAAGCGCGCAACCCUUGGUACAAAAGCUUCUGUACGUCAUGUUGAUGGCCAAUUGAAAGCUCUUGCACUAUUUCACCGAGCAUGAGGUCAUCGUUGUCACCUCAUUUCCGCUUGGUGAAAUCGUUCGAAAUCGCGAUGUCGUGGGCCAAAUCUCCAAAUGGGCUCUCGAGCUCAUGGGGCACAACAUCAAAUAUGCCCCCCGAACCGUGAUUAAGUCUCAGGUCCUAGCCGACUUCAUCGCCAAGUGGACGGAAGUCCAUCCUUGACCCCUAAAGUUACCCAUGAGUACUGGACGUUUACUUUGACGGGUCAGUCAUGGGAACCGGCGUGGGGGCUGGGGUGGUCCUGAUCUCCCUAGAAGGAAACAAACUCUGCUACGUGACUCGUCUCCACUUCAACGCCUCGAAUAACGUUGCAAAAUAUGAAGCCCUCAUCAAUGGGCUAUGUAUCGCCGUCGAGCUCGGUGUGACCUGACUUUACAUCCGUGAUGACUCCGAACUUGUGGUCAACCAGGUCAUGAAAGAGUCCUCCUGCAAAAGCCCACUCAUGGCAUCAUACUGCCAAGAAGUGCGUAAGCUCAAGGACAAAUUUCGAGGGAUCGAGCUACACCAUGUCCCACGAAAGGACAACGACAUCGUCGACACUCUAGCGAAAAUGGAUGCCAGACGGGAACCGGUUUUGGAUGAGGUCUUCACGAAUGACCUCCAUGAACCAUCAACCCGUGUACGGGAGAGUCUGCCCCAAGCAUAGACUGGCCCAGGCCAAUUGCUCGGGGGCUCAGGUGCCAUGUCACAGCCCAGUUGUGACCAAGCACUCGGGGGCUCCGACCUCGACACGGUAGUAAUGGCGCUCGUCUGACCGAUUGGAGAGCAUCGCUACAUGGCUACAUCCUCGAUGCAGUCCUUCCGCUAGAGAAGACUGAAGCGCAGGGGGUCGCCCGACGCGCCAAAACAUUCUUCACCAUCGGCGACGAACUCUAUAAGUGAUGCCCGUCGGGAGUACUCAUGAAGUGCAUCCCGACCGACCAAGGGAAGCAGCUUCUUCAUGAAGUCCACGCUAGAAUCUGUGGGCACCAUGUUGCCCCGCGCUUGCUGGUCGGGAAAGCCUUUCGUCAAGGUUUCUACUAGCCCACGGUGCUCCGCGACACAGAGGAGGUGGCCUGCAGAUGCGAGGGGUGCCAAUUCUACACUCAACAGACCCACCUGCUGGUGUAGGAACUCCAGACCAUCCCCAUCACCUGGCUAUUUGCGGUCUGGGGACUCAACAUGGUCGGUCCCCUCAAAAAGGCCCCGGGCGAUCACACCGACCUACCCGUGCCGGUGGAUAAGUUCACGAAGUGGAUCAAGGUGAAGCCCAUCACGAACAUUUGCUCGCAAGAGGCUGUCGAGUUCUUCCUUGACAUCGUCUACCGAUUUGGCGUCCCUAACUGUAUCAUCAUGGAUAACGGAACAAACUUCACCGGCAAGAAGUUUUUGGAUUUUUGUGAUCGGUACGGCAUUAGGGUUGACUGGGCUUCGGUCGGACACCCACGAACAAAUGGCCAGGUUGAGCAAGCCAACGGCAUGGUCCUCAUGGGACUCAAGCCAUGUAUUUUUGACUAGCUCAAGAAGUGUGCUGGGCAAUGGGUUGUAGAGCUUCAAGUGGUUCUCUGGAGCCUGAGAACGACCCCCCAACCGAUCAACAGGGUUCACCCCCUUCUUCCUAACAUACCGCUCGGAAGCAAUGUUGCCAUCCGACCUCAACUACGGCGCCCCGAGGGGAAGGGCAUUUGACCCUGACCGAGCCAUGGAGGCCCAACAGGACGCGAUAGACCUGCUCGAGGAGGCACGUCAGAUGACGCUCAUCUGCUCCACCCGUUAUCAACAAACCCUUUGCAGGUACCACGGAAGAAAGAUUCGGGGAAGAACCCUCAAGGUCGGUGACCUAGUGCUUCGAAGGACCCAGACGACCAAGGAUGAGCACAAGCUUUCUCCACCAUGGGAAGGACCGUACGCAGUUGCCGAGGUGAUCCAACUAGGCACCUACCGAUUGAAGGACCAAGAUGGCAACAUCCUCACGAACACUUGGAACAUCGAGCAACUAUGUUGUUUCUUUCCCUAACUCGCUUCCUUUCCAAUCGUUUCUUUCACGCACUUGCUCCAAAAGCACCUCAAGCCAAGCACACUCGGACCAGGUUGCUUGGGGGUUCCACGGGAUUGCACUACCCCCUCUUUACUUUUUGCAUCAUCAUGCAUCCCGCCCGAACGAAAGGGUUUCUUGCCCUUCGGACUACCCCGAGUAGGUCACGGACCGAUCGAACUCCGCCACAACUGUGGUUUCGAGCAACUGAGUCUCGCGGACCACGCCCGAGCUCUUAAGGUUGCAGCCUACGUCAACGGGUAGGUCCGAGAAGAAAGGGAUGAACCGGGUGUCAGACAGUAAGACCAGUUAAGAAAAAUAUAUACUUGUGGAAACGUAGCAUGCAGGGCAUGCAUCCUCAUCACGAACGACGGAUACGGACUCCACUUGGUAGCACCCGCCAGCGGAACCCUCAACUGGUCGCUUGAAUUUCUAGGAUAAGUAAUGAUAGCCUAGCCCCUAUGAUUACUAAAUUUGCAGAAGGGACGACGCCCGAAACUCCCCGACUAAGGUAACAUUUCCAAUCCCCCCAUUUACUCUUCCUUUUUUCGCGAGCAAACAUCUCAUUCAUUCAUCUGCAUCAUGCCAUACAUGCAUGCAUUCAUUCAUACAUCAUACAUUCAUUUCAUACUUGCAUUCAUUGCAUCUCAAUUGCUUUGCGUCGUGUCACAAAGCAAUAGUGGCUCGUCCAGAAUGAGCUGCGACCGACUGAGGUUAGAAGGACGACCUGCGGAGGGCUCAAGGCCGCCUCGCGUCAAAUGCAGAUGGAGCCCCAGCGGCCUCCGCCCAACCUGCUCAGUAGCAGCUAGGGACCAUCUCGACCUUCUGGUUCAAUCCCAACCUCGAGCCGUGCCCACAGAAUCUCCAUCGAGGGGAGGCCAGCGGGCCACCUGAGUUGGUCUCUGGAAUGACUCGAGCAUCUACUAGGAGGCGGGUUGAGGAGUAAUGGAAUGCCCCAUGCGGGCUAUGCAUACCCUGUUACGAACGACAAACCCGGAUUCCACUCGAACAGGCCCGUUAGCGAGCUCACCGAGCGCGUCACUCGAGCCAUCAAGGCAAGCGGCAUUAGCUCAACCCCUCCGGUCGUGGAGACCAAGAAUAGGGUGAUGCAUGAAACCCAACAGAUGCUGACCGAGUCUAACUGGGCUUAGGGGCUCGAGCUGAUUGAUCCCAACUCAGGGACACAACUAACAACACGAGUCGUAUUCGGGACAAAUGCGGGCAAAAGCUUCCGACCAAAACCUCACUCUCCUGAUGGACGAGGAUGGUUCGAACCACAGCCUUUGAAAAAGAACGACCAAGUGCUUAGCCUCUGACCAACUCUCCAGUCGGCCGCAGGCUCGGGGGCUAGACCCACUGGGUCUGCUCACAUGAACCUAGUGGAACACAGACUAAGGGUGAGUCCCUGGAAACUAGAUACCCUAGCACAACUCGGCACGCUCCUGCGGCCCAUGCCAGCUAUCUCCUCGAAAGUUGGGCAUUGAAACCGAUCUGAUGCGCCCCCUGCGACCUCUGCCAAACGUCCUAUCGAGAACUGGGUGCCGAUACUUGCUCAAGGACUAGCGCACCCAAACUAACUCAACUACCCUACGCAACACGGCGAACGGAAGGGAAAAAAUGCAUCUCAAAUCUAGGAACCACCCCAAUGGCGCGAUGGACACACAAAUCACAAACAAACUUUUUCAUUAACAUGAAAAUACAAGCCGGAGGCAUUUACAAUAUCACACAAAGCGUGCGAACUCAAGGACCCGAAGGCCUUACAAUAUCAUGCAAAGCGUGUAGGCACAACCUAGGGAUUACCCUACAACCUGGGACCAAAACAAAGAAAACAAGUGCGGGCUGCACAAAAUGGCCGCGCCCAAAACCUCGCUCGUCGACCCAUCCUCGCCUGAUUUUCUUCAAUGUCCACCCCCUGAACAAAAGGCACCAAGUAGAGAGGAAGAUGAGGAAAUUGAGAGAGCGAAAGGUGCUACCUCCAAAGUUCCUCGGGUCCUCCUCCUCCAACCAGGACAACCAAGAUAACAAGGGAGGAGAGACGCAGAGGGAGUACGAGUACCGCGCCUUGGUAUCGUGGGCAAACUGGCUCUCACUAACUCCUAGUGAACCAGCACCGACGCCUUCAUCUUGAUGAGCACCUCCUCUACCGCACCACCACGUGUAGCAAACGAGGACGGCGAGAUGAGGGUUGAGCACUCGGAAGGUCAAAUCAAUGACCUCCGGCGAUUGGUGACCCAGGGUACAAUCGCGGCACGGAGGAUGAGGAAGCCCUGUCUUCCCAACCUCUCGAGGCGGCUCCCUUGUCCUCUCAUCCAACCCCUUAUUACACACUGGAUCCAUAUUAUGAGAGUUCUUCCCACAAUAUGACAUCCGAGCUCACAGGGAGAAGCUAAGUGAAAGACGAGGAAUGCCUAUUACGAGAAUUCUUUUGGCAAUCAUGUGGAGCAGCCAAAGCCGCCUAGGGCAAAGAGCAGGAGUCUCAAACCUACCGAAUCUACGGUCUGAGCCAUGGCGUCUACAACUCAAGCCAUGGGGACUCCGAACGUGGCAACCCCCCUAUUUAUAGCCGGGCAAAUGGCCACAAUCUGGGAGUGGUUUCCAUCUGCACCCAUGGACGUGCGGUAAAAGCGCUUGACACCAAGGUGACCCUUCGGCACCCCGCAUUAAAGGCGUCGUGCCCUGAUAUGAUGGUUUGCAUACCUCAUGCCGAAAACCGAGGGAAAGUACUGGGCCAUGAGGCGACGGUAUAGCUUCACGCGGGCUACGUCCGUAUCCUCUUGGAUAAGGGGCUGAUCCUCUCAAUGGGGACCAGUCGGUCUUCAUAUGAGACAAAAAACAAGCGACGCCCCUGAGCAUAUCUCCCCUCAGCAUAACUUCCCAACGCUCAGCCCCUUCGCGACUUCGACUAAGUCCCAAAGGGGCUCGAGGGCUCUUGACGGGUCCAUAGACCUGGGGUCCCCAACAAGACUAUUUCUCGUAAGAUUUAGCCCAACAAAGGGUGCAGCGAUAGCAAAUACUUGGGCUGGCUUGACUACGUAUAGGUAGGCCAAAGCCGCGACCCAGCCACCAACUAGCUUUCCCCGACCAGGAGGACUGAUCGAUGAACCAACCAGAUGGAGUGCACCAGGGGUGGGACCAUAGUCUGACCCCGACCAGUGUCUUUCGACCAGCUCUACUCAGAUGGGCACUCCCGGCCCGUUUUCCUGACCAGGCUCCCGCCGUACCACUUGCGACGACCCCCCGACCAAGGAUGGCCACCGGGAGUGGGCUUGGGGAGCAGGUGGGACAGAUAACAAGGCAUCUCCCAGGUCAGCCGGCCGUACGUGGAGCCACGCUGCACCACGCCCUGCGCACAUCUGCACAGUAGCAUCAUAAACCUACCCGCUACGGCAUGACGGCUCGACGUUACGGCAUAGUGGCCUGACACCAUGGCGUGAUGGCCUGAUGUAGUAAAAUGAUUAAUUGAUGAGGAGAAUAGGGUCCAAGAAGGGAGGCCAUUGCAUAUCCGCCGGCAAGGGGUUCGAUAAGGCUAGGCAGUGCCCGUACACCCACUCUCUCUUUCUUCUCCCGAGCUGUAAGGGCCACCCCCUUGUGCUAUAAAAUGGUGCGGCCCCUCCCCCUCUGGACACGAGCAUACGUACACAUGCACACAUACGAAAGAGAGGCACAACAAACGAAUGAAGCACACAACAACAGAACACCGACGCACAUGCACAUACUUUCACUUUUAGCGCACUCCACCUCCAUCGCUUAGCUCACGUCUGGGCUCCGCCUACACUAGGGCUCAGACACCCCUCUUCCUCCUCCUCUCCUUUGUACCCCCACUGCAAACUUUGAGCACCUGGGCUCAGGAAUAAAGUCAACGAUCGAUCCCCUAAGUGGACGUAGGGCACAUUGCCCAAACCAGUAUAGAUCCUGUGUCAUUGAGUGCUAGGCCACAUCUGAUCAAUGCAACGACAAAACAACAUAUAAUUAUUUGUCGGCCAUAUUUCGCAUCGACAAAUAGAGUCAUUGCCUUGCUGAGUUGUCCUCCCUAAUCUUGGGUCUUCAUCUCUUGAAGAUCCUUACUAGUCCUAUAUCUAGCGUGACUGAGCUUUGUGCCAAUAAAGGCACCGGCCAUAGGAUCAGGAUGGUUGAACUAGCAAGGUGAGUGUGAUGCCUCCUAAGGAGAAAAAGGAAAGAGUCCUUGAGCUACUGAAAAGACAAAGAGGAAAAAGAGAGAGAAAAAAAGUAAAGGAGCUCCAUGCCCUCAAAAGUUUCAAAAUAGAGAUCCAUCUAAAUAAGGAGUAAAGUAAAUACCAUUUUCCUGAAUGCAAGUUUAGUGCGUUCAGCUCAUUAGUACUUCUGUUCGAUUCUAUUCCUUGACACGAGUCAAUUCUCUCUGAAACGAACCGGAUUUUCAUUUUCGGAAAAUCCAACUCCUUGUACCCUUGAUCCAUCUAAAUAAGGAGUACAGUAAAUACCAAUUUCCUGAACACAAGUUUAGUGUGUUCAGCUCAUUAGUACUUAUGUUUGAUUCUAUUCCUUGACAUGAGUCAAUUCUCUCUAAAAUGUACCGGAUUUUCAUUUCUGAAAAUCCGACUCCAUGUACCCUUGUGAUAGUCCCUGCAUCAAUAGCUAUCACGUAUAGAACUCAUUUCAGCCCAAUAUCAUUUCCACAACAAAAUCAGAGUACAAGAUUUAAUAUCUACAACCGAUUCAACUCGGAAUAUGAAUACCGUACAAGCUCUUUGGGUGUAAAUGACAAGAAAAACUCAUACGCAGCGGUAGCUAGGCCUUACAGUCUUCAUCUUCGAUCUUCACCACAAGCAUCCUUGAGCGAAGCAACGCGACCCUUCCUUCAUAGAUUCUUUGUGAUAAGAUUUUCACUCCAAGUCCAUACCUGCACACUCAUGAAAUGUCCUCAAGGAAUAGGACAGGUCCACGUCACCAUCCGUAUGCAAGCUUUAAGUGGCUAAAUGGUACUAUUCAAAAGUAAUCAAGGAGUAGGCUUGGGUUUCCUAUGCAGCAGCAAGCAUAAAGAAUAAACUUCCAUAUCCAUCAUCCCAAUCCUCUCAACACAUUAGGAACAACUGCCUCAGCAGGGUCCCUCUCAUCAUCUUCCUAUCUCCAUACUAGGGUCGAUGCGAAAGCUCCCUCCCUUCACAUCUCAACAAUUACAGCCAGAUCUAAAAGAAAAAUGGAGCAACUUCUCCACUCCCCGACUGCAAUUGCAGCUCACCACACUCACAUAUAGCUAAGGGGAAGGGAGAGAUAUCCCAAAAUAAUGGAGAGUCAUGAUGUCACAGGGUUGUCCAUGACUGAGGACGCAGCUAUACGUAUAGUUUUAACUGUGCAGAGUGUGUACACCUGGACCCAUCUCGAAGUGAGACAACAGGUGAUCAGCCGACUGAACAUCACUCUACCGAGCGAAGAACCUGGGAGUUAUUAUACCAUCCUGCAUCCGGGCUCGGAUGCGAUCCCCUGUAGUAGACCACCCCGGAACUGUGAAGCACUCCCACCGGGGCCAAUCGGGGGCAAAAGCAAAUUGGGGGGCUAAAGGUCAACACUACUCCCCCUGCACUGAUACUCUAUCCUACGGUAGGUAUGGUGCCUCACUUGCAAGUAUCGACCUUUGCCUAAACCCAUAAUUCGGUGAGUGGAGUGCACGUUUAACAUAUUCUCGUGAAGCAUAGUGACCCACUUUGUUCUAGACCAGGGCAAGCUCCUAACUUGCAAAAGCGACUCCAGACCAUGGUUCACAACGGUACCCAUAAUAGGUGUCACCCCCAACUCCUAUGCUCCUCGACAAGUACCAAACUGGGAAUGCUUGCAACAAGUACCAAACAGGGAACGUCCGCAAAUGGACCUUAAGCCCCCAAUCAUAAGAUUGGGUUGUCAAAACUUCACCCCCAUCAAAUAUCCUAAAAACACCUUCUCCUGCCGGUUUUAACCCCACUCACACCAAGAAUCAUAAUCACAAUAUCCCAUACACAUGCAAGCAUCGCACGUAGCAUAUAAAAGUAGUAUGGUAGUAGGUCGAACAAGGAUUCAAGGCAUAAAGUAGGCCAUGCAUGGUUUAUCAUCAUCAUGUGAAGAAAUAAAGUGCUAGCAUACUAGUUAGCAAUACCUAACGGGUAUUCAAAUCAAAUGGGCAUGAACCCUAAGUUGAAUUCUUCCUUGUAGUGGUCCUUGAAUGACUCCGGCUCCGACUUUGGCUCUGAAUCUUCGACAAGUCCUAAUUACAGGAUUUUCCUAAUUAUCAAGGGUCUAUUUGCAAAUAAAAUCAAAAAGAGAUCCAUAGAAGACCCAAACAAGAUCAAGGACUAGUCUAUCAUGUUCUUCAUGAUUUUAUAAAAUUAUGAAACUGGUUUCAUAAUUUUUGGAGUUAAGAUGAAUUAGUUAUGAAUUUAUGAAGUUUAAAUCAUUUUUUGGAUUUUUAAAUAAUUCGUGAAAAUAAGAAAAAUGACAGAAGCAACAUGUGGCAGCACUAGAACAUGCCACGUGUCUUGCUGACGUCAUCAGUGACCCCGGAUGACGUCAGCGUAGACUGGGUCAACGGUCAAAGUCAAUGGUCAAUGGUUGAUCGGUCAACGGGUCCAUGGGUCAAUGGGCCCCACAUGCUGAUGUGGCACCAUGGUAGCUAUUGGCUAGCUAUAGGUUGUCUUUCGCUGGUUGUUGUCUAUCUGUAGUGCUUAGGUGGCGCACAUGCGUUAGCCACGCAGCUGCUGAGUCAGCGUCCACGUGUGGUCUUUAAGCAGCUUAAGGGGCCUAUAGGCUGGCGCUAAGGCUAAGGUGGUACUUGAGUGUCACCCACGUGGCUGCCACAUACACUGGCAUACUGGGGCUAUAAGAGGCUAUAGGUCGACUAUAGGAUGAUGGUUAGGCUUGCAUGGAGAUCCACGCGGCGAUGACGUGGGCGCCACUUGGGCUCGGCUCGGGUGGGGAUCCUCUAUGGCCCGUGUGGCCAUGCCUUCCUAUGGCCCCCCGUGGUGCGCGGUCCACGGUGCGGCUCGAACGGUCAAUCCACCAUGAAUCAUAGACUGUGGCUCACAUGGACCGUGUCCACGGUCAGGUGUGCCAGCGGCGACGCGCGUUUUCCUCCUCCCCUCCGCCGCGGCCACUGCAGGGGCUCGCCGAAGAUAGCUCUCUUGGCAGCCGUACGGCAAGUGGCAGCUGAAAAAUGGCCGCCUGGCCCUAACUUUCGCCAACAAAAUGGAUAGUAGUGUUAUUGGGUGGUGGUAGGUAGUGGAUCUCUAGGUUCUUGGGUGGCAGCACUUGGGUGGUCUAGGUUCUAGGCACGCUAGCGUCACUCCAUGGCCAUGCAGGCGCUCAGGUCUCCUUCUCAGGAUCUAAUGGCAGCGGGCGGCCACGACACCAUCGGCAGGCAGUGUCGGCACGCCGAGGAGUGGCUGGGCACGUCGACAAGGGUGGUUAGUGUGCGGUUAGGCUAGUUCCGGCAAGACAACGCUCGAUGGGGUGCAAAGGUCGCGCCUUUAGGGCUUCCUAAGGGCUGCGGCGGUUGCCAUGGUGGCGCGCCAAAGCGGUGGUCUACGGUGAGAGCAUGGCGUGCGCGCGGCAGUGGCGAGAUGUGUGAUGGCACCUACACAACACGUGGCAUGAAGGUCGGGUAGAAGCAGCGCGCGACAGUGAGGCUGGCGAGGCGUGCAGGUCCGCGGUUGACCACGACCGUGGCCUUGAUCACGGCGGCGAUGCGAUAGCGAAAAAGGAGGUAGGAGAGCUCACCUUGGAGGCUCAGGGGCGCGAUGCUUGGCACGGUGGCGAGGUGAGUUCAGGCGGGGCCAAGGUCGUGCAGGGUGCGCAGUGAUGAUGGUGUAGUUGUUUGGGGUGCCAGCUUGUCAGUUGCGGUAUCACGGACUGCUCCAGGUGGCGGCAGCUACCCUCCUCUGUUGUGGUUCCCCCCUUCCUCCUUUCUCCCUCUUCUCUAGUGGUGGCGGUGGAUGGGGAGAACCCCUAGGGCAGCAGUUGGCCAGAAUAGUACACGGGCGGAGGUUUAAUAGCGGCGUGCCUAGGGUUUGGGUGCCGGGACUAGGACGAGCGGCUGGCGAUCUUUGAGAUGUGCCCGCGGGGUGGCGUGGCGAGCAUCGGACGGCUCCUAGGGUACGCGUUGGUGCGCGCGGGGCCACGGGGGUGCAGCGCAGGGCUUCUUGAAGGCUCCCAUGGCCUCCUUGUCGUGGAGCGGGAGCGGCGCAUUACGGGGCGGUGUGGCGCAGGGCGUCAACAGAGGAGGUGGGAGGUUGAUGAAAAAGCUGACAGGUGGGACCUACCUAUCGGCGAGCACGAGAGACGUGUGGGCGCGGUGCUGUCGCAGGUGGGCGAGCAGGCCAAUGGGCCAGUUGCUGGGCCGCGGAGGCGGGAAUGGCUUUGGCCCAGGCGGAGGGUUAGCAGGCUGGCAAAGUGAAGGAGACCGGCGAGGUUUCAUGGGCCAUGGUUGAUUUCAGCCUAGGUGAGUUUAGGGAUUUGGUUUUUUAUUUUUCUAAUCUGAAUUUUGAAUUUAGAAUUCAUAUUUGAAUUCACCCAAAUAAGAUCCAAUUAAAUCCAAAUAAAAAUCCAACUCAUUCAUGCAAGGGUCAUGACUAAACAUUUUAGUGCACCAUUUUUAUUUACUAGAUAUUUUGGGAGAGAAAGAAAUUUUUAGCCCUAAUUUGUGAACUAUUUUCAUGGCUCACACAAUUCAAACAAUUUUUUUUGAAAUUUCACUUUUUAUUAAAAUUAACAUUUUGCAAAAUUGCGGGAUGUUACAGUCUCUCCCCACCCCCCGCCCCCCCACACAAGAAUUCCAUCCCCAAGAUUAAAGCCCUUCUUCGCACUCAAGAGGUGCGAUUAUUCCUCCUAACAUCUGUCUCCCGAUUCGUAACUGUUUCCGAGACAUGGUGGUUGCGAGAUGCUGUCGUGAACUUAUCCCAACUCCUCCAAACCUGACAUUCAUUCCAAUCAAGAUUGUAGUUAAAGGUUACUCUCGAAGAAUUGGUUAGAAAAUUAAUUAAUUAAAUUAUUAAUAGAAAUAUAAGUUGAAGCACACAAGCAAUUUCACACAAACAAUAAGAAGCAUAAGAACCAGAAUAUCCAUGAAACGCCAUGUCACUCAUGCAUAGGCACCAUACAAAACAAGUGUAUGUUGAGGUCUGCAACAGAAACCUUCAAGAUGACACGAGGGUAGUCAUACUACUACAUCGGACAUCAUGAGAUGGUAGUCUCUAACACUAUGACAUCAUGGUGAGCCAAACUCAAUCCUAGUUCUAGAUCAGAAGCGGUUGUCUCAAUCAGAGCAUGGGAAGUCAUCGUCAUCCACGUCCCUGUCCCCAGGGUGGUACUCGGGGGUAGGGCCUCUCCACGGUCCUAACUUGUUGUUUGAGUACACCGGCAGCUCCAGCGAGUCUCCUCCGUAUGUCUGAGAGAGUGUAGUCAGGGCUCGAGUCAUCUCCUCUGUAGCAACUCUAGCUGGUGGGUGCAGUGCCUAGGUGUACAACCUGGUAGGCAGUAGUGCGAAGCUCUCCACAUGGAGCUCCCUCCUGUACCUGCGCGAUACCCAUGCUCUCAACUCCUCCAACUCCAUCUCCCUCCUGCGGUCAGAACACUCCCACGUGAGCUGAAGUCUCUCUCACAGGUAGUAGUGGGAACCGAGGUGGAGUAGGUUGUGGUAGUUCCUGUGUAGGCGGUGGUGUAGCUGCUUGAUGUUCUUGCUCUUGUCCACCAGUGCUGCGUCUAAGGUAGCAAUCAACUCCUCUUCCUGAGCAUCAUGUCCGCUCGUCAAUCAUCUCAUCUUAGGUCCUCAGUGCCUCCUCCAUACGAACAAGUCUUGCCUCCAGAGUAGCAACCCUCCGUGAGUCCUCCUCAUCGUGAGGGUCUAGGGUGGCGUCGAGCUUGUGCUGCAAGCGCAAGUUUGUCUUGGUCAGUGUAGUCAAGUUGCGCUUGAGCCCCACUAUCUAUCCCUCCAGCAUGGCCUAAGUCUCGAUGCUGUCGUCCUAACUCUUGCGGUGAAGGUCCAUCUCCCUGUUGUACCAGAACAAUGCCAGGUCCUGAGCGUGGAUGCAGUGAGAGGGGAAUCUGAACUUCUAAUCUGGCUCUACGUACACAUCCUUGUAGUACUCGCGAGCUACUCUCUCGAAGUCUCUUGGCCUGCGGUACAAUCUGGGCAGGCAACGGUAGGGGGUGUGUGCCAUUCGGUGAUGAAGCUGCGCGUGCACCUCUCGCACGACCCUCCUGGCUGCGGUCCUGUGAGCCUCCGUCAUUGGGAUCUCAAAUGCGAACACCUCAACUCCCUCACACUCUAGCACGCUGGGGUCUACUGGUACUGCCAGCCUCACGUCUGUGGGUAUGGCGUCCUAAGUGCCCCUCAUGCGUCCCUCGUAGAGCACGCCCUGAGUGCUGACUCCAGCCCUCUCCAAACACUCCUUGAGAAGGGUGCAAAAGCCUCCGUAGCCCUCUCUAUUUUCGGCAAACAUGCGCCACUCUUCAGUUGUCAUCUGUUACACGCAGUUAAGGUUUGUUAGUAACUCGUACAAGUUAGAGAAAAAAAGGUAGUAGUAGUAAAUCAAAGAAGUUGUAUAACAAUGAAGGAAUAUAUAUAGCAACAGAGCGUAGGGAAUUUCUUAUUGCUAACGACCAUGUCUAGGGCCACGUGCUACGGUCAAGUAUGGCUCUGAUACCAACUGAAAUGAUCCGGAUUUUUAUUUUUGAAAAUCCGACUCCCUAUACCUUGUGAUAGUCCCUGGAUCAAUAGCUAUCACGUACAUAACUCAUUUCAGCCUAAUAUCAUUUCCAUACAACAAAAUCAGAGUACAUGAUUUUAUAUUUACAUCCGAUUCAACUCGGAAUACGAAUACCGUACAAGCUCCUUGGGCGUCAACAACAAGCAAAACUCAUACGCAGUAGUAGCUAUUCCUUCCGAUCUUCAUCUUCGAUCUUCACCACAAGCAUCCUUGAGCGAAGCAACGUGAACCUUCCUUCAUGGAUUCUUUGUGAUCAGAUUUUCACUCCAAGUCCAUACCUGCACACUCACGAACAGUCCCCAAGGAAUAGGACAGGUUCAUGUCACCAUUCGUAUGCACGCUUUAAGUGGCCAAAUGCAAGUAUUCAAAAGUAAUCAAGAAGUAGGCUCGGGUUUCCUAUGCAGCAGCAAGCAUAAAGAAUAAACUUCCAUAUCCAUCAUCCCAAUCCUCUCAACACAUCAGGAACACCUGCCUCGACAAGAUCCCUCUCAUCAUCUUUUUAUCUCCAUACUAGGGUUGAUGCGAAAGCUUCCUCCCUUCACAUCUCAACAAUUACAGCCGAAUCCAAAAGGAAAAGGGAGCAACUUCUCCUCUUCCUGACUGCAAUUGUGGCUCACCACACUCACAUAUAGCUAAGGGGGAGGUACAGAUAUCCCAAAACAAUGGAGAGUCGUGAUGUCACAGGGUUGUCCAUGACCAAGGAUGCGACUAUACGUAUAGUUUUAACUUUGCAGAGUGUAUACAUCUGCACCCAUCUCGGAGUGAGACAACAGGUGAUCAGUCGAUUGAACAUCACUCUACAAAGUGAAUAACCUCGGAGUUACAAUACCAUCCUGCAUCCGGGCUUGGAUGUGAUCCCCCAUAGUGGAGCACCCCAGAACUGUGAAGCACUCCCACCGGGACCAAUCGGGGGCAAAAGCAAAUCAGGGGGCUAAAGGUCAACACUACUCCUCCAGCACUGAUACCCUAUCCUACAGUAGGUAUGGUACCUCACUUGCCAGCUUCGACCCACGCCUAAACCCAUAAUUUGGUGAGUGGCAUGCAUGUUUAACAUAUUCCCGUGAAGCAUGGCGACCCACUUGGUUUCAGACCGGGACAAGCUCCUAACUUCCAAAAGCAACUCCACAUCGUGGUUCGCAACGGCACCCAUAACAGGUGUCAUCCCCAAUGCCUAUGCUCCUCAACCAUGUACUCGCAACAUGUACCAAACAGGGAACAUCCGAUUGCGGACCCUAAGCCCCCAAUCCGAAGAUUGGGUUGUGUAAAGCUCACCCCGUCAAAUAUCCCAAAAACACCUUCUCCUGUCGAUUUUAACCCCACUCAUGCCAAGAAUCCUAAUCAUAAUAUCCCAUACACAUGCAAGCAUCGCACAUAGCAUAUGAAAGUAGUAUGGUAGAAGGUCGAACUAAGAUUCAAGGCAUAAAGUAGGCUAUGCAUGGUUUAUCAUCAUCAUGUGAAGAAAUAAAGCACUAGCAUAAUAGUUAGCAAUGCCGAAUGGGUCUUCAAAUUGAAUGGGCAUGAACCUAGAGUUGCUUUCUUCCUUGUAGUGGUCCUCAACCAGCUCCGGCUCCAACUUCGGCUCCGAAUCUUUAACAAGUCCUAAUUACGUGAUUUUCAUAAUUACUGAGGGUCUAUUUGCAAACAAAAUCCAAAAGAGAUCCAUAAAAGACCCAAAAAGAUCAACGACUAGUCUAUCAUCAUGUUCUUCAUGCUUUUAGAAAAUUAUGAAACUGGUUUUAUAAUUUUUGAAGUUAAUAUGAAUUAGUUAUGAAUUUUUGAAGUUUAAAUCAAUUUCUAGAUUUUCAAAUAAUUCGUGAAAAUAAGAAAAAUCACAAAAGCAACACGUGGCAGCACUAGAGCAUGCCACGUGUCUUGCUGACAUCAUCAGUGGCCCCGGAUGACAUCAGCGUUGUCUUGGUCAAUGAGUCAACGGUCAGCGGUCAGGUGGCACACACGCGUUAGCCCUUGUCUGUCAUCUGUCUGUAGUGCUUAGGUGGCACACACGCGUUAGCCACGCGACUGCUGAGUCAGCAUCGACGUGUGGUCUUUAAGCAGCUUUAGGGGGUCUAUAGGCUGAUGCUAAGGCUGAGGUGGUGCUUGCGUGUCACCCACGUGGCAACCACAUACGCUGCCACGCGGGGGCUAUAAGAGGCUAAAGGUCGACAGUAGGACAGCGGUUAGGCUCACAUGGAGAUCCAGGCGGCAAUGCACGCCUUCGUGUAGCCCCCUGUGGGGCGCGAUCCACGGCGUGGCCCAGACGCCCAGUCCACCAUGAACCAUAGACUUUGGCUCACGUGGACCGCGUCCAUGGCCGGGUGUGCUUGCAGUGGAGCACGUUUCCCCCCUCCCCUCUAUCGUGGUCACUGCCGAGGCUUACCGGAGAUAGCUCUCCCGACAGCCCUACGGAAAUGGGGUUGUUGUUGGGCGGUGGUAGGCAGCGGGGCUCUAGGUUCUUGGGUGGCGGCGCUCGGGUGGCUCCGGCGAGGUCGCAAGGCGCGCGCUUGGCUCCGUUCUAAGGGCCAAAAACAUGCGUGUUGGCACGAGGGCAUCACACCGCGGCCACACGGGCGCUCAGGUCCCCUCCUCAGGCUCUAACGGCAGCGAGAGGCCAUGGCACCACCGGCGGGCAGCGUCAGCACGCCGAGAGGCGGCUGGGCACGGUGGGAAGGGCAGUUAGGGCAUGGUUAGGCUUGGUCUGGCGAGACAACGCUCGCCGGGUCACAAAGGUCGUGCCUUUAGGGCUUCCUAAGGGCUGCGGCGGUCGCCACGGUAGCGCGCCAGAGUGGCGGUCCGUGGCGAGAGCGCGGCGUGCGUGCGACGGUGGAAAGACGUGCGAUGGCACCUACACAACACGCAGCACAAAGACUGGGCAAAAGUAGUGCACGGUGGCAAGGCUGGAGAGGCGCGCGGGUCUGUGGUUGACCACGACCGCAGCCUUGAUCAUGGCGGCGAGACGACGGCGAAAAAGGAGGCAGGAGAGCUCACCUUGGAGGCUUGGGGGCGUGGUGCUUGGCACAGUGGCGAGGUGAGGCUGGGCGGGGCUGAGGCCAUGCAGGGCGUGCAGGGACGGCGGUGUAGUCGUCCGGGGCACCGACUUGUGCGUCACGAAUGGCUCCGGGUGGCGGUGGCUCCCCUCCUCUACUCCGGUUCCCCCCCUCUUCCUUCUUUCUCCCUCUUCUCCUGUGGCGGUGGUAGAUGAGUGGCAGCAGUGGAUGGGGAGAACCCCUAGGGCAGCGGUUGGUUGGAACUGGACAUAGGCAUGGCUUUUAUAAUGGCGCGCCUAGGGUUUGCGCGCUGGGACAGGGACGAACGGCCGACGAUCUUCAAGAUGCGCGCGCAGGGUAGCAUGGUGAGCAUCGGACGGCUCCUAGGGCACGGGUUGGUGCGCGCGGGGUCACGGGGGUACAGCGCAGGGCUUCCGAAAGGCUCUCGCGGCCUCCUUGUCGCGGAGCGGGAGCAGCGCAGUAUGGGACGACAUGGUGCAGGGUGUUAGCGGAGGAGGCGGGAGGUUGACAAAAAAGCUGACAGGUGGGACCCACCUAUCGGCGAGCGCGAGAGACGGGUAGGCGCGGUGCUGGCGCAGGCGAGCGAGCAGGCCAGUGCGCCGGUUGCUGGGCCGUGGAGGCGGGGAUGGCUUCGGCCCAGGUGGAGGGUUAGGAGGCCGGUGAAGUGAAAGAGGCCAGCGGGGUUUCAUGGGUCGCGGUUCAUUUAGGGAUUUAGUUUUUUGUUUUUCUAAUUCGAAUUUUGAAUUUAGAAUUCAGAUUUGAAUUCUCCCAUUAAAUCCAAAUAGAAAUCCAACUCAUUCAUGAAAGGGUCAUGACUAAAUAUUUUAGUGCACCAUUUUUAUUUACUAGAGAUUUUGGGAGAGAAAGAAAUUUUUAGCCCUAAUUUGUAAAUUAUUUUCAUGGCUCACACAAUUCAAACAAUUUUUUUUGAAAUUUCACUUUUUGUUAAAAUUAACAUUUUGCAAAUUUGCGGGAUGUUACACUCUCCCUCACCCUGAACAUUAUUUUCCAGUUAUUGGAAUGCGAAUUGGUACAAUCUUCAUUGGGACUAAUAUUUUACUUGGCAAUAUGCACAGCAUAUAUAUGUCUUCUUUAUCCCGAUCUUGAACUCUACGUAUGCCAGUAGAAUAUUUUAAAAAAGAAAAAGCCUAUAGAUUGUAGGAUUGUAGAAAGGAUAGCCAAAAGGCUUUACGAGGAAUAAGAUUACCACUCCGAGAGUACUUCUGGCGCUAUUCUACACUCAAUAAUAAAUAAUGACUAAUUGACUGUGAACUACCGAAUGUAAUGCACUUGAUACUGAACCACAUUCGGUAGAAGGGCAUAGAGGUGGCGGUACGUAGGAUAGUAUUUGUAUAUAUUGAGUUGCAUGCACCAACCAUUAAACCUAAAAGUUUAAUCUGAUAGAGAAGUACAUGCGACGCCUAGAACGUGCAAUCUAGCUAUUGCCAAACGUUUUGGCCCACUGUAUUUAGAUGGGCUAGGUUAGAAGCCAAACAACUAUAACAUGCAAAAUAAAGUUGGUAUCUAUUCAUUUUAGAAACAAAAUUAGAAAAUAAUAUACACUUGUGCCCGCGGCCUAUAUAUAUCAAGGCACUAUGGGAACGCUGAAGCAUGGUCGAGUAGCACACAAUCAGCCAUGGCGCCUGUUCUGCCACUGCUACUUCUGCUCCUGUCCUCUUCUUCUUCUCCAACAAUCCGUGCAGCAGCAGCAGAUGAGGAGCACGAGUACACACUCGUGGCAUUGAGCUCGCUGCAACCAAAAGCUACCUGCGCCGGACACAGGGGUACGAUCGAUAUAUAUAUAUAUUAUCUUUCUCACAGGAAGGCUCCUAAUGACAAUAAUUAAAUUAAAUACUGAUGAUGAUGAUGUUAUUGACUCCCAGUGGCUCCGCCCCAGAACACGACGUGGGUGCCUUUGAACCUCCCCCAUGGCCCAUGCUCGCCGCUGUCCGGCGGCGCCACCACGCCGCCGUCCGUGGCUGAGCUGCUCCGCCACGACCAGCUCCGCGUCGACGACAUCCUCACGAGGCUGUCCGGCAUUCCCAUCAACGACAGCAAGCCGACGCGCUCGGUGGGUGGACCCAACGCCCAAAUGAAUGGCAACUUAAUCGAUGUCGGCGUGGGCCCAGCACAAAGCCCCCCGUCGGCGUGGGCCCAGCAGCAGCUCUCCGGUCUGAGCGGCGGUAUUGAUGCAGUCGCCGCCCAGUCGAGCCUGCCGGCCGGAGUGCUCCGGCAGACGGUGGUCGUGGACACGGCCAGCGACGUGCCGUGGGUGCAGUGCGUGCCGUGCCCCAUCCCGCCGUGCCACCCGCAGACCAACACCUUCUACGACCCGACCAAGUCGCGCACCUAUGCCGCCUUCCCCUGCGGCUCCCCAGCUUGCCGGCAGCUCGGUCCCUACGCCAACGGCUGCAUCAACAACCAGUGCCAGUACAAGGUCACCUACCCCGAUGGCUCGUCGUCGUCGGGCACCUACAGCUCCGACGUCCUCACCUUCGACGCCACCCACGCCGUCAGCAACUUCCAGUUCGGGUGCAGCCACGCUGAGCAGGGCAGCUUCGACAACCGUGCGGCGGGCAUCAUGGCGCUCGGCGGCGGCCCGGAGUCGCUGCUGGCCCAGACGGCGUCCCGCUGGGGGAACGCCUUCUCCUACUGCAUCCCGCCGACGUCGAGCAACUCCGGCUUCUUCGGCCUCGGCGUGCCCGGCGGCGUCGCCUCCUCCAGGUACGUGGUGACGCCGAUGCUCAGGUACCCGAACCUGCCCACCUUCUACCGCGUGCUCCUCCGGGCCAUCACCGUCGGCGGGCAGCGGCUCAACGUGCCCGCCGCGGUGUUCUCCGCCGGCUCCGUGAUGGACUCGCGCACGGCCAUCAGCCGCCUGCCGCCGACGGCGUACGCGGCGCUGCGGGCGGCGUUCAGGAACGCCAUGAGGAUGUACCGCCCUGCGCCGCCCAAGGGGAACCUCGACACCUGCUACGACUUCACCGGCGUCGCCAACGUCAGGCUGCCGAGGAUCGCGCUGGUGUUCGACCGGAACGCCGUCGUGGAGCUGGACCCGUCGGGGAUCCUCUUCAGCAGCUGCCUCGCUUUCGCCUCCAACCGCGACGACCACAUGCCGGGCAUCCUCGGCAGCGUGCAGCAGCAGACGUAUGAGGUGCUCUACGCCGUCGGCGGAGGCGC